rnacentral:lncRNA from 1 species
UUUGAAAGAACGCGUGGAAUUCGAUGACAAAAAUCUUGUGGUAAGAAUGGUUGGAUUGGAAGGAGAUGUGUUUAAGCAUUACAAAACCUUCAUUGCAACAUAUCAAGUUGUCCCAAAAGGACUGGGUCGUAGCGUGAUAAUUUUUACCUUGGAAUAUGAGAAACUUAAUGAUGGUUCUCCUUACCCUGACAAGUAUCAUGAGGCUAUGGAUAACCUUGCUAAGGACAUUGAAGCUCACCUUUUAAAAGAUACGGUUCAACUUGUUUCCGCACGUUUGCCAUAAUUAAUAUGAUAUGAAUAAGCAUGUUGUGUUAGGGUUGAUUCUAUAAGAUGUUGUGAGGAUUUUGUAACACUAAAUAAUGGUUAUCCUCGUGUAAAAUAAAUGAAACUCAAACAUAAUUUUGUUUUAAAUAAUAUGUACUAUGCUAUCUUUUGAUAUAUAUAAUGUAUGGUUUCUCGGCUAUUUUCUUUGUCACUUGCUGAACUCUUACAUAGUUUUCACUUUCAAGUCUUAUUUCUAUCACUUUUAAGUGCGGGAGAAGAUGAUAAUAUUAUUUCUUUUGGGAAAGGGAAAGUUAAAAGUUGAUUUGAUGGCUUCAAUUUAAUGGAUUUUAAUAUCUAUAUAACACAGGGAUAGGGAGAAAUAAAAGUAAUUAAAGCCAAAAUGGAGUUCUUUAGAUUCUUACUAAAUUAUGAUAGUUUUUUUUUGGGUGUUACUGAUUUAUGACUAAAAAUAACAACAAAAAACAUUGAAAGUUUUUAUUUUUUUUACAUUUUUUCAACAAUUUGAGAAUAGAAUUAAUAGGAGUGAAAAUUCUUUAAAGUCAAUGGAUUGAAAGAAAAAAAAAAACGUUUUUGAUAGAAGCAAACAAAAGUUUUAGGUUUUCUUUUGGACUUUUAUGACUUUUUUUUAGGUCAUCAAUGCAAUCAAUGUAUGAGUGUUUUCUAUGACAUCAAUGUAUAAUCUACAAAAUUAAAUCUUAUGUGAUUUCUAAUUAAGAUUUUAAAAAGUUCUUAAGUAUUUUCUAAACCCUUUUAAAGUCAUCUUAAAAACUUCCUUUUAAACAUGACUCUUUUUUGUGUGUUCUUUAACAACUAAAAUUAAGCAAUGCAUUAUAUUUAAAAGAGGUUUCUUAAUCAAUUUUCUUUAUAAGAAAUUGGUUUUAAAGACCUUUGUCUUUAAAAUAGUUGUAAGAUGACAUGGAAUCUAUAAAAUUUAGGAGUCUAUUUUCUACAUUUAUAUAGGAGAGAGAUCAUAUGGAGAGUUUUGGUGGAAUUUAUAUCCUAAAACUCAUAUUUUGUAGUUUAAAAUCAUAUUACAUUUAACGAAGUUGCUGUUGAGGAAUUAUCAGUGAAAUUGAAUAUUAUAUUCUUGAAUCCAAUAAACUAAGGUUUCGAGACUAUCUUAAAUAUAAACUUGAAUUUUAUGUAGAGAUAUAAACAUAUGGACCAAGUUUGAGUAUAUAGCCUAAACGGUCUAUAGUAUAUGAAUAAGUUUGGGUGUUUACCAUAAGACUGGAACCAUGAAAUAAUCAUUUUACGUUCUAACAUUGUUUACUAUAUAAAACUGAUUAUUUCAAUUAUUGAUGACCUACCUAACUUAAUCUUAAUCAUUAGCUAACUAUGAACUCAUGUUCACACGAGAUUAUCCUUAGAUCUACCUAGGUCAGAGCAACUGGUUUUGAAUAAGGGUUUGUAGGGAUGUUGAUGGUGAAGUGGUAUUCAUCAAAGUAGUCCCCACGUUUAGUAAGUUAAAUCUUCAGGCGUUAAGAAUUAGAUGCUAAUAUGGUUAUUGCGUUGUUUAACACGUAGUGAGGUGUUAAGACAUUACUAAAAAUAAGAAAGUUUUUAUUGUAUGUAAUUGUAUUUCCCAAAAGAUAUUUCUAAAUUAUGUCAAUCACUAAGCUAUUGACAUACAUUUUAAGUAUUCCCUCUCCAAAUUAAGUGAAGAAGUGCGAUCAGAAGAGGCGAGAGGAGGUCAGUACUGCUAAGUACUUGAUAUGUCACGUAGUCGUAAUUAGCUCAAGUUUUGUGAUCCUUUAAGUUGUAAGUUGUACGCUGGCAUUGUAACAAAUUAUUAAUAAAAUAAUUACUAAUUUUUCAAAUCACUUGAUGUCCUAGCAUAUAGUAGAAGCUUUUACCAGCAUGAACACAUACCACUCAAUGCGUUCACCCAUCGUUCUACCAAGUAGACAACUCGACACAUGAAAGUCUGUACUUUUGUGUGUACAUAAUAGCUAGAUUUUUAUCAAGAAUAAGGCUAAUUGGUUUUGUAUACAUACAAGCAUCACAACAAUACAACUUCACAAACAUAGACAUACUUCAAACUGGUCAUAUUUUUUCAUAUGUAUAGAUGAGAUUAGAGCAUGAGUAUUUUUAACAACAUGAAAAUAUAACAAUAUAACUUUGGUGGUAAAAACAUUUUUCAAAAGCUUGCUUUUUUUUUUUAAAUUUCUCUCUUACUCAGCUAAGUCUUUCUUUUUCCCUUUCUCUCUUCUUCUUAUCGUCUAGCUUUUCUUCCCUCUUGUCGCUUGGUCCUACAACUAAGCUUCACAUUUUACUCCUCUAAUAGUGCUUCCUCUUAUCCAAACACUUGAAUUAAUCAUUAUUGAAACCUAUUUAACUUCUCUCAAAACAGGUUAGCUGACUAAUCAUUUAAGUUUAACACUUAACCAACUCCUCCUUGCCUCACCUAGCCCAUCAUUUGAUAAUUGGUUAAGUGCACAUUGUCAUCUUCCCUUUUCGCGUAAUCUAGCUUAUUAUACCAUGAUGCCUUUCUUCAUUACACGUUGUCUAAUUCUUUUGCCUUUUGCCUUUUUCUUCUCGUUGUCUCGAAAUGCCUACUCAAUGUUAAAUCUAUUUACUUAAAAAAUUAAUUUACAAGAAACCCUUCUAUUAGGACGCUGGUUUCACAUCCUUUCUCAAGGUUAACUAAAAAACAACCCUUGAUUCUUAGCUUUUCUUUCUAAUCCUACAAUAGAUUUGGGGUUUACACUUUGGUAGCCAACAAAAACAGUGGGCACAUAUAUAGACACCUAUAGACCAAUUGGAUGCAUGCCAUCCUUUCCUCAAGUAGGUUGGAUGCAUCCCUCAUUCAGUUGGAGACAUAGUUUAACUUCUUAACACCUACUCAGCUUGUUAGACAGAUUGCAAAUACCAUUUAGGCACAUAGUUUUUCAAUGAUGGACCUCCUCAUUUUUGCCACGAUCCUAGGUUCUCAUUCGCACACCUCCAUAUUUCAAAGUUCCUUUAAGAGAUUCCCCCAAUUAAUUGAUAAAAUGGGCUCCUCUUGUUGGUAUUUAUAGGCUUUUCUAAGUCAUCCUUAUCAUCCUCAUCUAAUCUUUGUUUGACACUACCUACCAAAAAUUUGUCCAAGUGUUAGUCCCAUGAGUAUUUUCAUCUCAAAGUUCGUCACUUCACCUACAUGUAAAAACUCAUCUUCUAAGUGUUAUCUUAUCCUCUCGCCAUCUCCUACUUCCAACUCCAACCCUCGUGAUUCCAACUUCCAACUUGAACCAAUUAGGUGCUUGAUCUCUUUCAAAUACUUAACUAUAGUAUUUUCCUUUAUUUCAUAGUUUUGGCUUCUUCAACGCAUAGUUUAUUGAUGAAUUGAUCAUCGUGUAGUUAAUUAUGGCACCAUGUACUUGAUUAUCUCAAUACCACAUAGCUGACUAUCUCACCUUAUACUGAUUAUCAUACCACGUAGUUUGACAACUACUCACAAUGUGGUUUGUUCUAGUUCACAACAUAGUUUAACAACUAUUUACCAUGUAGUUGGUCCUAAUUCAACAUAUAAUUUGUCCAAACUCACCACAUCGUUGGUCCCAACUUGUCACUAUUUUUAUAGUUAUUCACUAUGUAUUCUGUCCCAAGUCACUACGUAGUUUUUCAGUAGUUUUAAACAAGCUAAAAUAUCACAUGCAUAGAAUAAGUGAGCAAUGACAAGAUAAAGUUUAUUAAAAACUAAACUUUAAUAUUACUUAUUAUCCUUAAAGUGAUCAAGGAGAGUAUUGGAAGUAUAACAUAGAAGAAUUAAUAAAUAAGGUGAGAGAAGUUCUAAUAGCACAAAAAAUGUUAUGUCUAGCACCAAAAAUCUAUGAUUUUACGUUCUUAUAUGUGUAUCUUAUAAGUUUCGAGCAAACUAUGGGUAGAAUUCGGUAUUUAUGUCAAUUUGAGGUUUAAUUUGGUGAAAAUAUAGUUAAGAGGCAUCAUCAGAGGUGAAAUGUGAAAAAACUGGCAACAUUUGGCCUCUGCCUUGUAGUGUCGCAACACCUUAUAACACAUUGCGGGGUACAAUAAGGCAAUAACUUUACUGCUCAAAUUUUUCACUGAGUGUGAUACUGCCUUAGAGCGCUAUGAUGCUACGAACCAGAUGCAUAUAAUGUUUCACUUUAGUGUCAUGGCGCUACCCUUAGUGCUACUUCAUAUUUUAAGUACCGUGUUUCGCCAUCUUGGGCCAUCUUAUAUGCGUAUAAUGUUUUACUUUAGGAAACCUUGUAGGCAAUCAACAUAUCCAUAAAUUUCAACAACAUAAAAGAUUAAGGUCGCCUCUUUUAUCUGACCUUAAACUUGUUGCCUAGCUUAGAAACACCUAGGUGAUCCACGAAAGAAUUCAAAUGCAACGUAUCAUAAAUCAAGCAAUAUACCCUUUCUAAAGACAUCAAAAGUUAUAACUAAUGUGCACAAACGAUCUCUAAUUCUUUGGCAUCAUGAAAAUAUUGAAACAUUUUUUUUUUAUCAUUGACACUAGUACUACUAAUCCUACUUGUUCUAGUUCUCAAAUCUUGCAUAAUUGAGGCCAGACAGUUAGGGUUUAUCUUGGUUUCUUAGUGUAGGUUUCUCUUAUGUUAUUUUUAUUUUUGUUUAAUAUAAUUUCAUCCUAUCACUUUUGGUCUUAGGAAAAUUGAGAGAAUUAUUUUGUUUUGGAGCCAGCAUCCAUCCAUCUUAUGCCACAUUUUUCAGGUAAGUUUUUUGUUUUCCUUUUCAAUUUGACUCUUGUUUUCAUGUAAUUAUCACUUAAGGAUAAUGUUAGAAUUUAAGUUGGAAGCACAGUAUGUCUGUGUUUUGGAUAGAGCAUAUGAGCUUGGGGCUAUUGUGUGUACUUCUUUGUUGCCUUGUGCCUUUCAUUGACUUAUCGAUGACAUGCUCUCAAAGUCAUGCAGUUGUGAGGCAAUAUAUGAAUAAAACGAUUAUGAUUUUAAGCAUAUUUUAAUUUUUUUUCUUCCAUAUCUUAUGCACACUUUAGUCUUUCAGUUAACUAUCGUAGGUUUUGCAUGCUUAGAGUAGCUUUAUCGAGUCCAUAUGUUUGUUGUCACGUUGAAAGGCCUUUCUUUAGUGGUAGUUGCAUUUCCAUCUUACUAUUGCCAAUAUGGGGAAGGAAAAUUGAAGGUUCUUUAAAUUUAUUCUAGGUUUUUUUUUUAAGUAGAAGGGUUUUUGACUCAUUUAUACGUGAGUGGAUAUGAAAAAAUAACUUUAAAUGUGCAUCAAUUGAUUGCUUUUUCCAUUUUAUGCUUAGUUCUUGUUAAUUGUUAAGGCAUGAGAAUGUAACUUGGCAACUUAGCAAACAAUUGUGUGUAACUGUAUGCUUUAUUCUACUUUGCUCGGGUUGAUCAAGGACUAAGUUGGGGAUUUUAGGUAGCACAAGAAAACGUGUUAUCAAAUCUCGCUUAAUUCAAGAUCAUUUUAUGGUUUUAUGUUUCUUUUUUACUAUUUUGUAGGCAUCAAACAAAUCAAGGGUAUCAUUCGAUGUUGAUGUCAAAUUUGAGCUGAAUUAGGUGAAUACGAAGUCAGUAUGCAUCAACUUAGGACAAGGAGUGAAGAAAAUAACAAAAUAGGUAGGCCUUGCAAUGUUGCAGUACUUAUGGAGCAAUGCACGAUGUUGUAAGAAGGGUUAUUGUUAGAAAUAAUAGGCUAGGUCAUGAGUGAAAGCCCAUCGGUAGUUAAUAUUUACUUUUUCCUAAUUUUUAUUCUUUUAAUUAGGUUCAUGGUUUUUCUCCUGAUACUUAGUUUUCCGAGUAAAUUUUGGUGUUCUUUGUCUAUACUUUUAAUAUGGUAUCAGAGUGAAAUAUUGAACAAACCCUGGAUAACACAACUAGUGAUAGAAAUCAAAUAGAGAAGAAAGUCAGUUUUAGUGUUGUCGUUGUGACUAUUGUCGAUGCUCGGAUCAAUUGCUGCCAUGGAUGAAUGGUUCCACCGCCUUUAGAAAAUACUAACCAAUGUAAUUCUGUCAAUUCUGUUGUCGUUUGCAUCUCUCAUGCGCCACCACUUGAGCUACACGCGUCAGUAUCCAUCCUCCUAAGGCAACACUAAUCAUUUCUUUUGUGCAACCCUUUUCUUCUUUUGCGACCUAUAUUACGCUCCAUGUCCCGAUACAUGUAUUGCCACCUAAUUUUGACUGGUUGCCACUGCUUGUACCAUCAAAUCUAUAUGUCCUCCCAGCCAUUGACCUGAGUUAUCAUUUCGAUGUUAGAAAUCCUCACAUUCACUCAACAUUAAAGGUUGGUGAAUCUUCAGCACAUUCCAACUGUAAUGUGCAAACAUUCUCUUCUUCUUUGAGAAUAGUUGCUUGUUCCUGCGACGUUCAUUCAUAGAUGUGUCAUUUUAAUCUCUAAGUGUGCGACUUAAUAGACAACUAAAAUAAGAUGAUGCGAUAAAAAGGGCAUGUUUUAUCUAUGGAUUGCUGAUUUCCUAGUGAUAUGCAUGUAAUACAAGUUUUCCUUUCUAUCACCCAAGUGUAAGCAAAGAGAGGUUUCCUGGUAAGUCUAAGGUCAAACUUAGUGAAUUAGUAUUCCAAUUGAAUCUAUUGUGUGGCUAGUCCUAUGUUGUAUACUCUUUAAAAGAGGAAGUGUACAUGAGUCUGCCUCUAGGAUUUAAAGCUCAAUUUAAUAAACAGGUUUGCAAACAUCAAAAUUCAUUAUAUGGGUUGAAAUAGUCAUUAAUAGCAUGAUUUAACAUAUUUAACAUUUGCAUCAAGUCAGAGAGGUACAAUUAAGGGCACUCUAAUCCCACCUUGUUCACCAAAGUCUCCAAGGUAGGGAAAGUUACAGUAUUGAUUGUUUAUGUGGAUGACAUUGUGCUAUCUAGAGAUGAUAUUGAUGAGAUCAUUCAACUAAACAAGAAAGUAAGGUUUGAAUUAAAGUUAAGCACUUCGGAAAUCUGAGUAGUUUCUUGGGAUAGAGAUUACUAGAUCCAGAGAAGGCAUCUUAGUGUCCCAAAUACAGUACACCCUUGAUUUAUUAGUUGAGAAAUGUAUGCUUGGAUGUUGUCUUGCUAAUACACUCGUUGAGUUCAAUGCGAAACUAAAAAAUUCAAAUGAAAGGGUUUCUGCUGAUAAAGAAAAAUAUCAAUGCUUGGUGGAAAAGCUGAUUUACUUAUCUCACACUAAACCUGACAUCUCUUAUGCUACAAGCACCAUUAGUCACUUCAUGCAAGCACCUUAUGAGGACCACAUGGAAGCCAUUAAUAGGAUUAUGAGGUAUUUAUAAGAAGCUCCUGGUAAAGGUCUACGAUUCAAGAAGGUUGACAAAAGAUGUGUUGAAGUUUAUACUGAUUUCGACUGGGCUAGAUUUAUUGUUGAUAGAGAGUCUACCUCACGAGACUGUACCUUUUCGUAGGGCAAUCUUGUUACUUGGAGAAGUAAGAAGCAACAAGUAGUGGCUAGAAGCAGCGUUGAAGCCGAAUAUAGGGCUAGAUGUUUGGAGAUCUAUGAGGAGAGAUCUGGCUCUAUAAGAUGUUGUCUGAUCUUUAUCAAGACUAUGAGGUAUCGAUGAAGCUAUUCUAUGAUAACAAGGCAGCCAUUAGCAUUGCUAAUUACCUUAUCGAACAUGACAGGACUAAACAUGUGGAGAUUGACACACACUUUAUCAAAUACAAGGUUGAUAAUUGUAGCAUCUGCAUUCCAUACAUAUAAAAUUUUAAUGAUAUCCUCGAGCCAACAAAUUUUUGAUACCCUCACAAAGGGACUCGUCUUACAGAAUUUUGAUUUGUGUGUUAGUAUGUUAGGUCUUUAUGACAUUUACGUCCAAAGUUGUGGGGGAGUGUUAGAAAUAAUAAGCUUAGGUCAUGUUGAAAGCUCAUCAUUUCUAACACUCUCCUCAAGUCAAAUCACCGUGAAAAUCCAACAAAACUUGUGAUGGAAAUCAAACACAAAUAGGAAUGCUCGGUGUUGUCUAGAAAACACAACUAGUGAUGGAAAUCAAAUAGAGAAGAUAGUUGUUUGUAAUUUUAGCGUGACAAUCGAUGCUCGCAUCAUUGCUGCAAUGGACGAAUCGUGUCGCCCUGCCUUCAGAUAAAUUCGACCAAUGUAAUUUCGUUGAUUCUAUUGCCCACGUGACAUUGCGGGAGCUAUACGCGUUGGUCCAUCCUCCUCAGACAACAUCAACCAUCCUUUCUGUGCAACCCUCUUCUUCAUAUGUGGCCUAUAUUGCUCCUUACACUCUGAUUCAUGCACUGCCACCUAAUCUUGGCCAACCACCACCACUUCUACAAUCAAAUUUGUAUCCCCUACUACCCACUAACAUUAGUUAUCAUCUCGAUGUUAGGAAUCCACAAAUUCAAACAUUUAAGAUUGGUGAAUCUUCGACAAAUUCCAAACCUAACGUGCAAGCUUCCUCUUCUUUUUUAAGAAUAGCUACUUGUUCAUGCAACGUUCAUUUGUAGAUGUGUCAUGUUAAUCUCUAAGUGAGCUACUUAAUAUGUGACUAGAAUAGGAUGAUGCGAUAAAAGGUGCAUGUCCUAUCUAAGCAUCGCUGAUUUCCUAGUGAUAUGCAUAUAAUACAAUUUUUUCUCUCUAUCACUCAAGUGUAAGCAAAGAGAAGUUUCUUGGUAAGUUCAAGGUCGAACUUAGGUAAUUAGAUUUCCAAUUGAAUCUAUCGUGUUGCUAGUCGUAUGUGAUAUAAUCUCUACAGUAAUUGUGCAUUGUUUGUUUAUCCAAAUUAUCUACACUAAGGUGCAACUAACAAUGCAAGAGGAUCACGACAAUGGAGUGCGAUGAAGUACGAACUCACAUUGUAGGAAUGGGAAGAAAUAAUAUUUAAUUAACUAAUCACGAUCUAUUGUGUAUUAAUAUUUCGAGGCGAUACAAAACAUGUAUUAACUUCAAAAUUAAGGAAAGUAUUUUCUCGGCACCUUCGCGAUACAUGCUCGCCUUUUGAGAUCCAAAUACUUGAAGUUAAGCUAUGAUUUGUAUCUAAAUUAGUUUGUAUGCAUCGUAGGUAAGUUAUCUUAAUUUAAGACAAGCAUCUUUUUGGCUCUUUCGCUACACACUUUAAUAUUAGUGCAACUUAUUCGAAGGAUGAAUUCAACGAUGAGAUUGUAUUGCUAAAAUCUCUUUGCCAUUUGUUUAGUUUAAUAGGAUAAAAGUCCUAGGCAGCGAAAAAUUUUACUGAACCAUUUUUCAAUUUAAUUUGAAAAUCCCAAAAUAUCAAUACAUUGAUAAAAUAAUACAGAAACUAAUUUUCUUAUUAUAACUUUAAAGCUAAGCAUGCUUUCUAAUUAUAGAGUAGAGAAAGAAAAACUUACAUAGUUUGACGCCUCUAAAUCUACCAAAAACUCUAAAUUGGGACACCACUCAUAGGAGACCUUCCUAUCCUUUGGGAUGAGAUUGGUUUAUGGGAACCAAUUGGGAUGGAAAAAGUUUUAGAUGCUUGUUUUAACCCAUAAAUGGAUCGAUUCACUUGCAAACGUUUUGCUCCUAACAUUGGGUUUGAACCCCUCUAGGUGAGACAUAAAGAUACUCUUUUCCAGAUUGUCAUUUAGAAAAGUAGUAUAGACAUCUAUUUGUCAUAUUUCAUAAUCAUAAAAAGUGGCUAUGGACACUUUAACAUAGCCUUCCUUUUGGGUCUACCAUUCAUUUUGGGUAUACCCUUUUGCUAUAGGUCUAUACCUUUCUCUUAUAUAUCCAUUUGCACCCUAUAGGUUUCACCCCUUUAGGUAGAUCUACAAGCUUCCACACUGAAUUGAAGUAUAUAGACUCCAUUUCAAGGUCCAUGGCUUUGACCCAUUGGUCCUUGUCUACAUCAUUCAUUGCUUGUUUAUAGGACAAUAGAUCCUCAACGCCAUCAUCUAGUAUGACAAUCUGAGUUUCAGUUAAAUUCAAGUAACAGUUAUGUUGUGAUACAAUCUUUCCACUGCGUCGAGGCAUUCUCAACGAUUGAGAAAGAUGAGACUGACCUGAUGUGUUGGUUUCAUCAACAAUUGAUGAGGGACCAGCUUCAUCAACAACCAUUGUCGAUCAUUUGUUACUUCACUUAAUACUAUUUUUUUGUGGUUUAUGAUCUCUCAUGGGGUCUUCUUCAAAGAAAGUAGUCUUUGUCGAUACAAACACUCUAUUUUACUGUGGAUCGAAGAAUAGACCACCUUUCAUUUUUUUAGGAUAAUCAACAAAUUUAUAUAACCUUGAACGGGGUUCCAACUUUUUGGGAUUUGUCAUUAACACGUGUGUUGGACAAUCCCAAAUUCUGAAGUGACUUAAACUACGUUUAUGUCCUCUUCAUAACUCGAAAGGUGUUUCAAAAACUCUCUUCGAGGGAACAUUGUUCAAGAUAUGAACUGCAGUCUCUAUUGCAUACCCUUAAAAAGAGCUAAGCAAUUGAGCAUAGCUCAUCAUUGAACGAACUAUGUCUAACAAGGUUCUAUUUCUCCUUUUUGAUACAUUAUUUUGUUGAGGUGUACUAGGUGUUGAACGUUAGGAAUGGAUUCCAUGUUCUAUCAUAUAUUCCUAAAAUCUCAAAUCCAUGUACUCUCCACCUCGAUCAGAUUGAAAUAUUUUAAUUUUUUUACUUAAUAGAUUUUCAACUUCAACUUUGUACUCCUUGAACUUUUCAAGAGCUUCACACUUAUGCCUCAUUAAAUAUAAAUAACCAUACCUUAAAUAAUCAUCUAUAAAAGGGAUGAAGUAUUCAAAACCUCCUAUAGCUUUUACAUUCAUCAGACUACAGACAUCUAAAUGUAUAAGUUCUAUGGGGUCUUUGGCUCUAUAACCUUUUUUAGUAAAGGACAUUUUAGUCAUUUGUCCUUCAAGACAAGAUUCACACGAAGACAAUGAAUCAUCUUCUAACUCAUUUAGAAGUCCAUUAUUUAACAAUCUCUCGAUCCUAUCGAGAUUAAUGUGACCUGAUCUUAAAUGCCAAAGAUGGGUAUUGUUAUUAUGAUAAAUUCUUUUCUUUUUAUUUUGAGUAUUAUCAUAUUUAAACAUCUCAUUAUUUAAAAUUGUUUUCGCUUCGUUACGUCUUAAUACAUACAAGUUGUCUUAAAGCUUAGUUGAACAAAUAUGUACACCAUUAUUAGAAAUAAACGCUUCAUUUAAAGAAAAUGUUACAUUAUAUGAUUGUUCAAUAAGACAAUAAAUAUAUAUAAGAUUUCUUUUAAUCUUAGGAACUAUGUGGACGUUUUGUAAAAACAAGAAUCUAUUUUUGAAAGACAGCUUAACAUCUCCCACUACACGAGCUGAAAUGGCAUCUUAUAGAAAUUUAAUUUUGGAUAUGAUUCAAAAUUAAUUUAUUAGAGAUAAAAUAUUUGAAUGACUUCAAAUAUUAAAUAAAUUUAAUGUGAAUUUGAUUCAUAUUAAAAUAUAUUGGUUAUGAGAUAAACUUAUAUUUGAAUAUGAUUCAAAUUUAAUUUCAAUUAGAUAUAAGACAUUUAAUUUAGCCACUAAUUAAUUGGAGAAUUAAUUAAUAGUUUAGUUUUAUUAAAUUAAAUUAAUAUAAAUCUUUAAGAUAUUGGAUAGAUAUUAGUUAAAUAAGAUUUGAAUGAAAUAUUAAUUAAAUAUGAUUUAAUUAAUUAUUAACUAAUUAGUAAAUUUGAAAUUUUUACUAAUUUAAUAUUUUUAUGGAAUCUCAUGAAUCUCUCCAACUUCCUUUUAUACUUCAAGAAGGAAAGACACUUAUAAAUAUAAAACUACAUAGAAUAGCAUUUUGAAAAUAUGAUAUAGCAAAUAUAACACAUUUUUUUAGAAUUUUGCAAAUGUGACAAAAUUUUCACUUAUAAAAAAACUCUUCAUCUUAAAAUUGUUAUUAUUUCUAAACUACCCUUCAAUAACUUAUUUCCUUCCUCUUUUUAAUGCCCUACACAUUAUUUAUUUAUUUAUUUAUUCUCCCACUUUUUUAGGCCCUAAUUAUUUAUUUGUUCUUAUACAAGAAAAAAUAUUUGUUCUUUCUGUCUUAAUCUUGAUUUUAGAAUAUUAAUAGUACAAUAAUUACAAUAUAAAAUAUAAUGGUGUUGUUGAUCAGAGUAAUUUAACUUCAUUUGUAAUUUUUUUUUGUAAUUUUUUUUUUUACUUUAUUUUAUAUGUAUUUUGAGUUGAAUCUGAUUUCAAAUGAUUUUGCUUUUAUUUUUUUUGCAUUGAUUUUGUUUUGGUUUUACUUUAUCUUAGUUUUGUAUACCAGGGUUGUGAUAUACUUAUAUUAUAUGUAUUAGUUGGUUGAUAUACUUACUACGUGGUUUUCAUUUUUUCUUUCAAAUUUUAUGCACUUCAUUAUAGUAUUAUUAGGUAUAUGAAUGAUAUAACUCAGUGUAUCUUUAUCAAGUAUAUCAACAAAAUAUUGUUAAAGCAUAUCAGCAAAGUGAAUCAUUAACAAGUAUAUGAAUCAAGUUUAAAAGUGUAUAUCAAUAGUAUAUCAAGUGUAUAAGUAGGACUUCAAGCAUAUCAAGUGUAUUUAAUGAAUCAAAUGUAUAAGUAAAGAAUACUAAUUAAGUAUAUUUUCACAACGCAUCGGAUUUAUCAAAUAUAUCAUGUACAUCAAACAUAUCAAAUUUGUCUAGUAUACCAAUGAAGCAUAACAAGUUUAUUACUGGUGUAUCAAGUGUAUCAAACUUAUAAGAGAAGCCUUUAAGUGUAUCAAAUUAAUCAAGUGUAUCAAGUGUAUCAAGAAGAUUAAAAUAUAAUGAGGAGUAUAAUGUGUAUCAAGAUGUUUUAGGUGUGUAUCAAAAUGUUUUAGGUGUGUAUCAAAAGCUAUCGAGUGUAUCAAAAAGUAUUAGGUGCAUCAAGUGUAUUUAUCAAAUGUAUCAAGUGUAUCGGCAAGAUGUAUCAAGGGUAUUAGGUGUAUCAUAUGUGUAUAAGGUUUAUUAAAUAUAUAUCAGUAACGAGGGCAUUUGUGACAUUUUACCUCUUGAUGUGUGGGUUGGGCUUUGUUUUUGCAAUUUUUGCAAAUAAGAAAAUAUGUGUGUUAUGGACUUAAUUAUUAUAACUUGUUUUACAAUUUUUACAAGUGUCUCUUAUAAAUAUCUAGAAGAAAACAGUUUUCUUCAACGAAUUAAUAAAAAAAAGUCAUUGCUUUUGCUAUCUGGAAAAAGAAAAUAGUUUCUCUCUAAACCUUUUUCUAACCAAAUUAGUUCCCACAAACCAAUCUCAUCCCAUAUGAUAUGAAGGUCUCUGAUGGGUGGUGUCCUAAUUUGGAGAUUCACUGUAGAUUCAAAGACAUAAACAAGUAAUUUUUAUUUCUCUAAUCUAUAAUUAGAAAGCAUGCUUAGCGUUUAAAUCUUAAUGAGAAAACUAGUUUCUUAAUUAUUUUUGUCAAUGUACUAGUAUUUUGGGAUUCCCAAAUUAAAUUGAGUAAUGGUUCUGUAAAGUCUUCCACUGUCAUAGGGCUUUUAUCCCUUCAGCUUUAAUAUUAAUUUCCUGUGUUCGACCUUGGAUCACCUAAGUAAACUGAAUGCUUCGCUUAUACUUGGACAAGCAAUAGAAAAACUUGCACUUUAUGGACUUAGAAGUAGGUUGUCGAGACAUUGCGAGUAUUUUGCAUGCAAUGAUCAUUUCAACUCGCAUGAUGAAGAGAAUGUUGGAGAGCAUUUUGCAUGCAAUGAUCUGUAUUCAAUGACAUGUCAUCACACCACAAACCAAACAACCAAACAGUCAUUCUAUAAUAAGUAUGUAUGCCUUGACUAGAGGCAAGUCUUUGAGAAUAUUUUUCUUAGAGACAACACAACAUAUUUCACAAUAAGUCCCAUGAAACAUAAUCCCAAUUUCAAAACAAUCACAUCCAAAAUCAUUACAUCUUGGGAGAGUGUUUCAUGAAAGCAAGAUUAGCAAAACACCAAGCACUUUCCCUUAUUGUAAAAGGCAAAAAUUAGAGCCAAUGAGUAUGCGAAAUCAUACUCAGCAGCUUGCCUCAUCUUCUUGUACCUUCAUUUGUUGUUUAUUUGUUUGUAUUUGUAAUGUAAGCUUCAUGGCCGAAAGGCCUAAAGCUUUAGCUAUGAAUGCAAUACAUUUCUACUUCCAUUUUUUCAUUUUCUUAUCUUGCCAUUUCAUUUAAGUCUAUGUAAUUAGGGGUAAAUAAUGUAAGGCAUAAUUAAUGUUAGGGAACCUGGAUGUCUGCGUUAAUUAUUUGUCUUGUUUAGUCAAAUGCGGUCAUUAAUGUUUUGUUUUAUUCAAGAGAAAAGUUAAAGUGUUAACUAUUGUCAAUUGACGCAUGAUGAUUUUGAUUUAUCUAAACAGAUGACAAAAGGGUUGUACCGAUGCAAUCUUGUAGCCAAACUCUCAUUUGUAGCAUACAUAUAAAAAAUGUGAGUGCAUGCAACAAAGACAUCGAGAGGUUGCUUCCUUUAAUAUAGGAUGAGUUGCUUAUAAUUAAUUCAAAAAGAUUAUAUACAAAUUAUUUAUUAAUUUUAAGUAUUUGGAUGUCGAAAGGGGAGCAAAGAUGACAAAGGCCUUGAGAGGUUGCUCACUUUAAUUAAAUCUUAAGUUAACAAAUGUUUUGUAUCGUGUUAACAUGUUAGAUAUCCUUGCUUUAUAUUUAAUUAGUUACAUAUUUCUACAUUUCAUCGCCAAUUACAUGAGUUCCUAUUUCAUUUCAUUGCCAUCUCCAUCUUGCUGCUCCAUGGCACUUAGUGUAAAUAUAUAGGACAAAAUUAUAUUGUGCCUAUUAAUAGACUGUAUAGAUACCACGUGAGUUAGAACACAUGAUUAACCUAUUAAGAUUAUUAUAUUCCUAUGGUCGACCCUGGCUUACCCAGAAAACCUCUUUUCGCUUAUACUCGGGCAAGAGAGGAAAUUUGUACUCAAAAUAAUGAAUUAACGAAGUCAACAACGUAUAGGUAGGAUUGUACUGUUCCUUUUAUCACAUGACCCUAACCUAAUCACCAUUUCUAGUGGCAUGCUUAGAGCCCAAGACAUAUUCACGAAUUGAUGUUGUAAUUAAACAAACAAGCAUAAAGCUUAAUGCAAUUAGUUUGAUUUGAAUUGGCAUGAAUUUCAUUGAAUUAGGCUAGUUUGAUUCUUCCGACAAUUUAGUUAGCUUUUUUAAUUGAAAUUGUUAGGGGUAGUCAAUGAAUUCUAUUUAGUAAUGAAAAUCCCAUGAGCAAAUUGAUGCUUUGAAUAAAGUGAAUCAAUUAACCAGAUAGGAUCUUUUGACUAUUGAAUUUAUACUUGAAUUUACAUGGUUUUAUGCAAAUUUACAUUCUUUGAAAUGAAAAAUAUCUGAAACCCCUUUGAUAUCCUUGGGUUGUUUACUAUUUACUUGGGACAUUUACUCUGUUCGACCAAGGCUUGCAACUAAGACUAGUUCUUGUGGAGUGUUUUGGUCAAAUUAUUUAAUCUGGAUUUUGGCAACGAAAUUCAUCUCGACAUGAUUCAAGUAAUUUUGACACAUUCAUCAUUCUUCUUUCCUUUAAGUUUUUACUGUUUAUUAGAGUAAUCUUCUUGCUACAUAAAUCAAACACUUGACAUGCUUCUAGAUGUCUUACCAGAAGUCAGGAUCUUAUCUAAGGACUUCAAGCAUGCUAGAGUUCAAAAUCCUGACAUUCUUAACUGCAGAGUCUUUCUCAACUCAAAUUUGAUUGAGUUUUUGCUUAAGUUCAGCAAUGGUAGACACGAGCCCGUGAUUAUUAUGCAUAAGAGACUUAGUUCUCUUCUUUUGAACAUUUAGAGUUUUCAAGUUUUCUUGACAUCUCUUUUAGAGGGUUUGAUAAGCUGAUAAAUCUUAAUCAACGAACUUGGCUUUGCAUACUUUUUUUUGCUCAAUGACCAUCCAUCAGCAUAGACAUUGAACUCUAAAUUUACCAAACAAGUGUCUGAUGUGAUGUUGCUAACAAAUGCCUUAACAUCUCCAUUAGAGUCACUAUUGUUGAACUUAUUGCCUUACAUGGUUGAUGCAUUGCCUUUGAUUUGCUUUUUUAAAAAGUUUGGACAUUCUUGAAAGUGCCUAAAUCAUUCACAUUCUUUACACCUAAAAAUUUUUUGUAAAGAAGAAUUAGACAUACCUAAUUUGUCAGGGUCCGUCUUGUAAGGCUACAUUUUGGAAAACUUGUGAAAAUAUCCAGCACAAGUUUUGUUCUCAUUGAGAUUAGCAAAAUUAGGCUUCUCACCAUACUGUUUAAGUACACGAUUGAAUUGUUUCAACAAUAGCAAUGGACUCAACAUGAGUGUCGUCAGAAUCUUAACAGGCACUUGAUGUUUCUCUUUUAUCACAGAGUAGAAAGAAAUUCCCUUUUUCUUCUUUUCAGAUGUACCUAAGAACAUUUCAAAGGUUGACAAUGAUCUGAAUAGUUCAUCCACCUUCGCAAUGAAGCUAUGUUUUGAGAUUCUUCCAUUUUGUUGUCACUUUUACAUCAUUCCUUGGGAAUCUUCUCCUCCAAGGCAAACAAUUCAUCUGCAAUAUCCAACAAAACAAAUGUUGAACUUAAUAAUAGUUUCAUCAUCAUGCAAUCUGGGAGACUCAAAUUUAGAUAAUUCGUAGUUGGAGUCUUGACAUCUUCACCUUGGAGGUAUCUUCAUGCACAACAAUCAAGACCUCCCUUGCUUCCUUAAACACAUGUGUGAAUAAGUCUGAUGUCUACACCAUUAAAUAUUGACAUAAAAUAGUGUAAAGUUUCCCACAGAUGCUUCAUCUUCUACUUUGAUCAACUAAAACUCUUGUUCUAGUUUCUUUUUUUUUUUUCAAUUUAGUUUUCUAGUGGAAUGCCACCGACCAUAAAUAAUUGCUUUCCAUGUUUGUUAUCAAUUGACUUUUGAAAGUCAAUUGUUCAUGCUUUCCAGUAGGAGUAAUUAGUUUUAUCAAGAACUAGGGGGCAAGUGUUGGGAUCCACCUUCUUUGUGUUAGAAAUUAAUAAGCUAGAUACAUUAUGGAUAACACAUUAAUAGAUACAUUUUGUGUCUUUUAGGAAGUGUCUCUUGAGUACUAUAUAUAGAGAUCAUUUCCUUCAUUUAUAUGCAAGAUAAAAGAAUCAAAUCAAUAGAAGCAAAUCGAGUUUUAGAAAGUAAGUGAGUUUCAAGAGAACAAUAUUCUUCUCUUGUGUGUUAUUGAGUUUUCUAAGAGAACAAGUUUCUUCUCUUAAAAGUUUGUGAGAUUUAGGGUAAAUUUAGAGUGGGCUCGUCAACGCCUCCAACAAAGUGGUAUUAGAGCAAGGAUUGAAAGAUGUCAUCUAACAUGUUGCAGCCUCAACUUCCUCGCUUUGAGGGGAAAACUAUAGGCGGUGGAGCCAGCAAAUGAAGGUUAUUUAUGGAUCUCAAGAUCUUUGGGAUAUUGUUGACAACGAAUAUUGAGAGUCAGAAAGUGAGAAUGGUCUUUCAGCACAACAACUCAAUGAGUUGAGAGAUGCUAGAAAAAAGGAUAAGAAGACAUUAUUUUUCAUCUACCAAGUUGUGGAUGAAAAUAUUUUCGAAAGAAUAUCAAGAGUCUCUACUGCUAAAGCAGCAUGGGAUGCAUUGCAAAAUUUGUAUGAAGGAGAAGAAAAGGUAAAAUUAGUCCAAUUACAAACACUUUGAGCUGAAUUUGAUACAAUUCGAAUGAAAGAUGCCGAAACUAUUGAAGAAUAUUUCAACCGUGUUCUCUUAAUUGUUAAUCAAUUGAGAUCAAAUGGAGAAACAAUUGGAUCCUUAGAAGCAUGACUAGAAAAUAUGAGCAUAUUGUUGUAGCAAUUGAAGAAUCCAAAGAUUUGUCAACUCUCUCUAUAAAUAGCUUAAUGGGAUCUCUUCAAUCUCAUGAUCUCAGAUUGAAGAUGUUUUGAUUCUACUCCUUCAGAAAGCUUUUCAUAUGCAGUCCUCCAAUAGAGGUCGAUCCAAUGGAAGAAGAGGUGGAUGUGGUGGUAGAGGCAAUGGACGAUCCAGUGUUGUAACAAAUACAGAGUCAGAAAGCAGAGACAAUCAAUCUUUUUCAAAUAGAGGACGGGGAAGAAGUUCAAAUAGAGGAAGAGGUAUAAGUGGUGGUCGUGAAGAUUUUUCUCACAUACAAUGUUUCAAUUGUAGACAUUAUGGACAUUUUCAAGCAGACUGUUGGUCUAAGAAGAUCAACUCUGUGAAGCAUGUGUUUUCGGAAAGCAUCAUCGAAAUUCAUUUUCGACUGGAGGUUCUUGGAGAGCAUCAAAGCCACUUGAGCUUGUUCAUACAGACUUAUGUGGACCAAUGAGAACUACCACAUGGAGGUAAUCGUUAUUUUCUCACAUUUAUUGAUGACUACAGUCGAAAAACAUGGAUUUAUCUACUAAAAGAAAAGAGUGCUAUUUUCGAAUGUUUCAAGACAUUCAAAGCAAUGGUGGAAAAUGAAAGUAACUUGAAAUUGAAAUCAUUACGUUCGGAUCGUGGAGGAGAAUAUAUUGUUUUUGUAGAUUUCUUGAAGGAAAAUGAAAUCAAGCAUCAAAAGACUGUUUGAAGAACUCCUCAACAAAACAGAGUUUCAGAGAGGAAAAAUAGAAUAAUAAUGGAACUUGCAAGAAGUAUGUUGAAGUUGUAGAUACCGUAUUUUGUCCUAUAUUUAUUUAUUAUAAAAGAAAAAAGAAAAAGAAAAAGAAAUUAAAUUUGAAUUUGAAUUUGAAUUUGAAUUUGAAUUUGAAUCUUAAAUUUAUAUUUAAAAAAAACAAUAAUAAUAAUAAUAAAUACAUUUAAAAAUAAAUAAUAAAAAUAAAACUAAAAGGUUUGAUUUCCUUCCUAUUUUUUCUCAACCAUCCCUUUUUCUUCGUCAUCACUCUCCCACUUUCUCCCACUCUAUCACUUUCUCCCACUCUCCCACUUUCUUCCUAUUUCUCUGUAAUCUGCACUCCAUCUCGUGAUCUAAAAAAAAGCAAUGGAGCUUGCCCUAUAAAAAGGAAAGAGGAAAAAGAAAACAGGGGAUCUUUUUUUUAUUAUUGGAGGAUUUAGAAAGAGGGGAAGAGUGAAAGAAGAUCAAAAAGGAAUAACCUUUGGCAUUGAAGGGAAGAGUGAAAGAAGAUCAAAAAGGAAUAACCUUUGGCAUUGAAGGGCAGACCUGCUGGUAAGUUUUUUUUUCUUUUUCCUCUUUUUAUUCUUAUUCUUGUUUAAUGAUUUUUUUUUUUUCUUCUUCUUGUUUGAUAUUCUUGUUUGGCAUCUGUGUUAAUUUCUUUUUAAUUAAUUAGCAUCAUAUAUUUGUAUUUGGAUACUCAUUCUUCAUUGACACCCAUUUUACAGUUAAUUACUUAUUACUUAUAUCCAUAUGGCAUCCUUAAUAAUUAUGCAUAAUUAAUCAAUUAGCCUUUUGUAUUUGGUAAUACUCAUUCUUCAUUGGCAUUCAUUUUACAGUUUUUGUUAAUUACUUUAUCCAUGUAUCCAUAUGGGUAGGCAUACCCUGUUAAUAAUUACUGUUAUCCAUAUAUUAUCCAUGUUAAUAAUUAUGCGUGAUAUAAUUAAUAUUUGGCAACAACCAUUUUUCAUUUGGCCUAUUAAUUAAUUAGCAACUUGUAUGUGACAUUUUCACUCCCUCAUUCUAAUUAUUUGCAUGAUGUAUUAAUUAAUCAGUAUGCAUAUGUGGCUAUAAUUAUUUGAUAUUUAUUUGGUGUGAUUAUUUAUUCGCAAUAUUAUUUAUUUGUAUAUUGGGCCAAACCUACUUUAGCAUUCAACUGUUAAUUAUUAUUUGAUAUCCAUUUGGCCUCGUUUAAUUAUGCAUUAAUCAAUUAUUUUGCAUCCUGCAUUAAUCAAUUAUUUUGCAUCAUUUUGAAUUAAUUAAUUAUGUUGCAUAUGUUGUAUUAAUUAAUUAUCUUGCAUCCUACAUUAAUAUCUUUUACAUUUUGCAUAUAUUAUCAAUGUAUUUAUUUUAUCUCAGCAUAUUACACCUAAGUAUUUUUCAAAUUUCAUAAUGUUUUGUCAUUGUUAUUAUUUUUUUUAUAAUAAUGUAAAUUGGAGAAAAAGUAUUGUUUUUUAUGGAUUUUAUAAUUUAAAAUCCAUAAAUACAUGAAAUUUUUCCGUUUGAAAUUUAAUUAAUAGAUUUUUUUUUUUAAAUUAACACAUUUCAUAUUUUAAAUGAGACUGAGUAGUAUUUUCUAUGAAUUUAUUAAUUCUAGAUAUAUGAAAUUUUUCAUUAAACACCUAUGAUAGAGAUUAAAAUAUCAAGUGUUGGUAUCUUAAUAUUCUUAAGGUGAAUAAAAAUAUUUUAAAACAAAAAUAAACUUAAUUUUUCUAAUGGCUCCUAUGCCACUCAUAAUCAUCAAUUCAUGCUUAGUUUUUACUUUCUUCGAUAUGAAUUGAUAAACAUGGGACAUUUAAACAAAACCUAAAUAAAAUUUUAUUUUGUGAACCUUUAUAAUUUAAUUUAAAAGAUAAAAUUGGGUAACCAUUUUUUUGGGUGUUGUAGGGUGCUAACACCUUCCCUACACAUAACUGACUCCCGAACUUAAAUCUCUGAAUGUACGCAGACCAUUUUUUUUUCUUUCUUUUUUUUGGGUGACCAAUCACACCUUAAUAUGAUUGGUGGCGACUCCAAAAUUUUUUAUUAAAAUAAAAUAAACGGGGAGGUCGGCCGCUCCGCGUAGCGAUCACGUCGCGACAGCUUGGCGACUCCGCUGGGGAUAUUGCAAUGUGUAAGAGAGUCAAGCCAGCACAUUUUUAUCUUUUAUUCUUAUUAUAUUAUAAUAUGUUGGUUCACUUAAUUAUUUGUUUUUUUUAUUGAUUCAUAUGUAAUAUUCUGUACUAUGUUAUUGAUACAUUUUUUUUUAUGCCAGCAUGCAUUUACACACACUCACAAGCCCUCUACCCGGGCCACAACCUUAUAGGACUAGAAUUGAGGAUGGAGUAGUGUUGACUUUCGAAGGGUUUCGACUCUCGUGUAGGCACAUGAAAAAUCCUCGCUCAGAUUAAUUCUUUUGUUAUUUCUUAAAUAACAUUAGAAAGUUUGAGGGCCUUUUAACUUAUAAGAGUUUAGAUAAUACCAACACCAUGUCAUUUUCUUUUUGACAUAUUUUAUCCAAAAGUCAACUAUUCAAAUUAUUUUUAUUUAUUUAUUUUAACAAAGUUUCACAUUUUCCUAAAAUUUUAAAUAAUACAUAUUUCAUUUUUUUAAAAAAAGAAUUUCAAUAAUAGUAUUUUCUAUAUUAUUAUUAUUUUGAGUUUGAUAUUUAAAUUUUAUUUAUCUUAGUUCCCUAGAAUUUGGGUCAUUUGGCUUCAUGCAUAGUUUAAAGAAAGUAAUGUUUACAUUGUAGAGGUACAUGAAAACCUUUAUAUUUUCUAAAAUUAACUAAAUAUUAAAAAACAAUUAAGCUAAAGUACAUAAAAUUCUUAUUUCUUUCAUUUUCAUGUUUUUUCUUUCUUUUUGAUUUUUGAUUUUUGAUUUUAAAUUUUUAAUUUUAAAUUUUAAAUUUUUAAUUUUAAAUUUUAAAUUUUAAAUUUUAAAUUUUAAAUUUUAAAUUUUUCUUUCUCUUUCUUCCCUUGCUCUUUAGUCUUCAAAGUUUUCAAAAUAGUCAAAGUAAAACAUAGCUCACCCUACUCCAAUUCAUCAUCCUUACAAUACGAUGCAUAAAAGUCGAAUCAUGGAAGAACAAGAUAAAGACAUGGAUAAAAUGAGACAAGAUAUUAAUAGUCUUGGGGAACAAGUUUCAAAAAUACUGGAAUUGCUUUCAGUAGGAAAAGAAAAAGUCGUCAUAGAAACAGCACAAUCAAGUAAUCCGGUUCAAGACACCGAUGAUCCCAUUUAUCCCCCAGGAUUUACGCCACGCCACAUGAACGCUACACAGUCUCAAACCGCUCAACAUUAUGUUGCUAUGAAUCCACUUUUUGAUGUUCCACCUCCUGUCCCAGAUAUAGAACAAUUGGAAACUCAGGCUAAAAUUCAAGACAUGGGGCAAAAUGAAAACACUCCGGCUAAGCAAAAACUAGAUGUUUUGGAAGAAAGAUUGCGAGCAAUUGAAGGGACUGAUGUUUAUGGAAAUAUAGAUGCAACACAGUUGUGUUUAGUACCGGGUUUGAUCAUUCCAACAAAGUUUAAAGUUCCCGAAUUUGACAAAUAUGAUGGAUCAUCGUGUCCAAGGAGUCAUCUUAUAAUGUAUUGUAGAAAGAUGGCAGCGCAUAUUGGUAAUGACAAAUUGUUGAUCCAUUGCUUUCAGGACAGUUUGACUGGUCCAGCUACUCGAUGGUAUAUUCAAUUAGAUAAUGCACACAUUCAUGUUUGGAAGGAUUUAGCUGAUGCAUUUCUAAAGCAAUACAAACAUAAUAUUGAUAUGGCUCCAGAUCGUUUAGACUUACAACGGAUGGAGAAGAAAAGUUCAGAAAGCUUUAAAGAAUAUGCUCAACGAUGGAGAGAUAUAGCCGCAGAGGUUCAACCACCAUUAACAGACAAAGAAAUGACAUUUAUGUUUAUGAAUACUUUGCGGGCGCCGUUCUAUGAUCGAAUGAUUGGUAAUGCUACAACCAAUUUUUCUGACAUUAUUGUUAUUGGUGAAAGAAUUGAAUAUGGGAUAAAACAUGGGAGGUUAAUAGAGACUUCAGCUGAGUAUGGUGGAUUAAAGAAAGGAGCAACACCUAAGAAGAAAGAAGGUGAGGUUCAUGCAAUUGGUUUUCCUAAUUUAGGGAACCACAAAUCAACUUUUGGCCAAAGAAAACAUGACCAAAGUUUUCCUUCAUAUAUAAGCAAUGUUACUCAUAUCCCUUAUAACAACUAUGUACCAACCCACUCUCCCUCUGGAGCCCCAAAACUUGUAAAUUCAAACUUUUCUCGACCGUUUGUACAAGGUCAGGGUAGCAAGACCAACUCAGAAACAUUUCGAUUUGACCCAAUUCCUAUGACAUAUACAGAGCUUUUACCUCAGCUAGUUCAUAAUCGACAGUUAGCUCCUAUCCCAAUAAAUCCUAUACAACCUCCUUAUCCAAAAUGGUAUGAUCCAAAUGCUCGAUGUGAUUAUCAUGCCGGAGGAGUGGGACACUCAACUGAAAAUUGUUUAGCUUUGAAAAGGAAGGUGCAAUCUUUAAUUAAUGCUGGAUGGUUGAGCUUCAAAAAAGCUGGGGAGAAGCCGGAUGUCAACAACAAUCCACUUCCUAAUCAUGAAAAUUCAAAAGUGAAUGCGAUAGAUUGUUUUGUUGGAAAGUGUAAAAAUGAAGUUCAUGAGAUAAGGAUGCCUAUGGAAACACUUUUUGAAGGUCUUUUUGAAGCAGGAUAUGUUAGUUUGGAGUAUUUAGACCCCAAUAUAAGAUACGAAGGAUACGAUGAAGGCAAACGUUGUAUAUUCCAUCAAGGAGUUGCAGGCCAUCCUAUCCAACGAUGUUGUACAUUUAGAUCUAAAGUACAACAAUUUAUGGAUUCGAAGAUACUCACAGUAUACGAAGGACAAGGAAAAGAUGAGAUGAAAGACAAUAAAAUAUGUACAUUAAUGGGUGAAGUUGCAAAAAAGGAAAAUCCCUUUUUACCAAGGCCUUUGACAGUCUUUUAUCAAGAAAAUCGUAAUAAAUCAAGUUCUUGCAAUCCUAAACAACUCAUUGUCGAAGUACCGAGUCCUUUCAAAUUUAAGGAUUUGAAAGCGGUGCCAUGGCGGUAUGAUUGCCAAGUCAUUACAGGUCCUUCAGUUGAUAAUAUUACAGGAAUCAGCGGGAUAACUCGAAGUGGAAGAUGUUAUAAACCAGAUAAUUUAACAGCUCCUUCAAGUAGUUUAACAUUGGGGCAAGGGAGGAAAAGUGAGAAAAGAAAUGUGAAUGAACAUGACAAAGAGCAGGAUGUAGAGAUGUCUGUCACAGCAAAAGAUAUAGAAUGCAAAAAACCUGUUACAGAUGAGGCAGCAAACGAAUUCUUGAAAAUAGUAAAACAAAGUGAGUAUAAGAUUAUAGAGCAAAUGCAUAAUACUCCAGCUCGAAUUUCUUUAUUAUCUUUGUUUUUAAAUUCAGAGCCUCAUCGCAAAGUGCUAUUAGAUAUUUUGAAUAAGGCACAUGUUGGACAUGACAUUUCAGUGGAAAAGUUCAGCGGAAUUAUUGGAAGCAUUACGUCUUCAAAUUCUAUAGUCUUCACGGAUGAUGAAAUUCCCCCUGAAGGUGUAGGCCAUAUAAAAGCACUGCAUAUUCAAGUGAAGUACAAGGAUUAUGUUAUAGCAAGAGUUUUAGUGGAUAACGGUUCAGCUCUUAAUAUAAUGCCUAAAUCUACACUAUUAAAGCUCCCAGUGGACAUGUCAUACAUCAAAUCAAGUACUAUGGUAGUGAGAGCUUUUGAUGGAUCACGAAGAGAAGUAAUUGGUGAUAUUGAAUUACCAAUCAAAAUUGGCCCAUGUACUUUCAAUAUAGUCUUUCAAGUAAUGGAGAUAACACCUACUUACAGCUUUUUGUUAGGUCGUCCUUGGAUUCACUCUGCAGGAGUGGUGCCAUCUACAUUGCAUCAAAAAUUGAAAUUUAUUGUUGGGAGUAAGAUGAUUUGUUUAAUGGGAGAGGAAGAUUUUCUGAUAACAAAACCGAUAUCAACCCCAUAUGUGGAGGCAACAGAAGAAGCUUUAGAGUGUUCUUUUCGCUCUUUUGAAAUUGCUCAUGCAACUAUGAUGGAAGCAACUGCAGGUGAAGUAAUAAAGUCACACAUGCCUAAAGUUACGACAAAAAGGAUGAUGAGAAGUGGAGGAUAUGGUUUGAAUCAAAGCUUGGAAACACUUCUAAAUACACCAAGCAAUGAAGGGAGAUUUGGUUUGGGUUAUAUGCCAAACGUAUAUGAUAAAAUUAGGCUUCAAAAAGAAAAGAAGAAAAGGUGUUUGGAAAAGCAAGGGAUGAUGGUGUUUGAUCCAAGUCUAAAAUUUAUACCAGCAUUAUAUGAUACUUUCAAGAGUGCUGGUAUAAGUUACUCAUCACGUGACUCUGAUUCAAAACAUUGUUUGUUAACAAAGAUGGAGAGUUUAUCAAUUGCAGCAGUGGCACAAGAAGCAUCAUUUGAAGAUGAAACAGUUUAUGCAUGUCCACCUAAUUUUGAGCUUAACAAUUGGGAUGUUGUAGACCUACCUACAUUUUCUGGAGAUUUUCAAGAGUAAUGAUUAAACUUUUAUUUGUUUUAAUUUUCUAGUUGGUUCUACUUAAGGCCACAGUAUUUUGUUUGCUUUACAAAAUGGAAUGUACUUUUUUUUUUCCUCUUUCUUGUUAUUUAAUGAAAUUUUCGCAUUUUCCUUUCAUUCUUUCUAAUUUCUUCUUCUCUCUGCUUUCUUUCUUGCAUCUUGCAAAUUAAACACAAAAGUCCAAACUUUUUCAUAGACAACAUUCAUAAGAACGAAGAUGUUAGUAAUUCCAGUUCUACCCUUGAUACCUUAAUAUACACUAUGGAAUCUGACAAAGAGAGUGACGAUGAAAAUGCUGGGAGAAUAUCCUCAGAACUGUUAAGAUUAGUAGAAGAAGAAGAUAAGGUCUUAGGUCCUCACCAAGAGCUAGUUGAAGUAAUCAAUUUGGGUUCUCAGGAGGAAUCAAAAGAGGUAAAAAUUGGCACAUCAAUGACCAGUGAAACUCGAAAAAAAAUAAUCAAUUUGUUACGUGAGUACUCAGAUAUUUUUGCUUGGAGUUAUCAGGAUAUGCCGGGGUUAAAUACGGAUAUUGUAGUACAUCGUGUUCCUUUGAAGCCAGAAUGCAAUCCAGUAAGACAAAAGCUACGUAAAAUGAAGCCUGAUAUAUUGAUUAAAAUGAAAGAGGAAGUACAAAAACAAAUUGAAGCAGGAUUCCUCAUAGUCUCCAAAUAUCCUGAAUGGGUGGCAAAUAUUGUUCCAGUACCUAAAAAAGACGGAAAAAUGAGAAUGUGUGUGGACUAUAGAGAUUUAAAUCGAGCUAGUCCAAAAGAUAACUUCCCUUUACCUCACAUCGACAUGUUGGUGGAUAACACUGCAGGAUAUUCAACUUUCUCCUUCAUGGAUGGUUUCUCAGGAUAUAAUCAAAUCAAAAUGGCUGAAGAAGAUAGAGAAAAAACAACAUUCAUUACCCUUUGGGGAACAUUUUGCUACAAAGUAAUGCCUUUUGGUUUGAAAAAUGCCGGGGCAACAUAUCAGCGAGCAAUGGUUACACUUUUUCAUGAUAUGAUGCAUAAGGAAAUAGAGGUGUAUGUUGAUGAUAUGAUUGCAAAAUCCAAGGCAAAUGAAGAUCAUACAACUAUACUUCAAAAAUUAUUCGAUCGGUUGAGAAAGUAUCAAUUGAAAUUAAAUCCAUCCAAAUGUACAUUUGGGGCAACCUCGGGAAAACUGUUGGGAUUCAUUGUCAGUGAAGAAGGGAUCAAAGUAGACCCAGAUAAAGUGAAGGCUAUCAUGGACAUGCCAUCCCCUGAAACGGAAAAAGAAGUUCGAGCCUUUCUUGGAAGACUGAAUUACAUAUCCAGAUUUAUCUCACAUUUGACCCCAACUUGCGAACCAAUCUUCAAGCUUUUACGUAAAAAUAAUCCAGGAAAAUGGAAUGAGGAUUGUGAAGAAGCUUUCAACAAAAUUAAGCAAUAUCUACAAAGCCCACCUGUAUUGAUACCUCCAGCUCCAGGACGGCCGUUAAUCCUAUACUUGACGGUUUUAGAAGGUUCUAUGGGUGGUGUUCUAGGACAACAUGACUUAUCAGGAAAGAAAGAGCAUGCUAUUUAUUAUUUAAGCAAAAAAUUCACCGAUUAUGAGUCGAAAUACUCAAUGUUAGAGCGAACUUGUUGUGCUUUGGUAUGGACCGCUCACCGUUUGAGGCAAUAUAUGUUAUAUCAUACGACAUGGCUUAUUUCAAAAAUGGAUCCAAUAAAAUACAUUUUUGAGAAACCGUCAUUAUCUGGUAGAAUUGCAAAGUGGCAAGUUUUGUUGUCAGAGUAUGAUAUUGUUUAUGUUACUAAAAAAGCAAUAAAGGGAAGUGCGCUUGCUGAUCAUUUAGCUGCCCAACCAGUAGCAGAUUACGAGCCAAUGAGCGUUGAUUUUCCUGAUGAAAACAUAUUUUUAGUUGAAAAUGAUGCUACGGAUCAUGAGACUUGGAUUAUGCUUUUUGAUGGUGCCUCAAAUGAGUUGGGACAUGGGAUUGGAGUUGUACUAAUUUCCCCAAAAGGAAAGGUAUUUCCCCUAACAGCUAAGUUAUGUUUUGAAUGCACUCACAAUAUCGCUGAAUAUGAAGCUUGUAUUAUGGGACUUCAAGCAGCAAUCGACAUGAGUGUUAAAAAGUUGAAAGUUUUGGGUGACUCAAUGCUAGUAAUACAUCAAGUCAAGGAAGAAUGGGAAACAAGAGAUGCUAAAUUGGUUCCUUAUAGCCAAUACAUUGCAAAAUUAUCUCAAAAUUUUGAGAAAAUUUCAUUUGACCAUGUUCAUAGGGAAGACAAUCGAAUGGCAGAUGCAUUAGCCACCCUGGCAGUCAUGUUUAAUCUUAAUCUUGAGUAUGAGCUUUAUCCAAUCCAAAUUACGAAAAGAGAUGCGUCGGCAUAUUGCAUGAAUAUUGAAAAUGACAACAAGCCAUGGUAUUUUGAUAUCAAGCAAUACAUAAAGUGUAGAGAAUAUCCAUAUGGAGCUUCAAAGAAUGACAAACGCACAAUAAGAAGGUUGGCCAUGAACUUUUUCUUAAGUGGUGAAGUUCUUUAUAAAAGAAACCAUGAUAUGGUACUCCUUCGGUGUGUUGAUGUGGAAGAAGCAAAACAAAUUAUGAUAGAAAUUCAUGAAGGAAUAUGUGGAACACAUGCUAACGGACAUACUAUGGCCAGACAAAUACUUAGAUCUGGUUAUUAUUGGACAACGAUGGAAUCAGACUGCAUAAAAUAUGCAAGAGAAUGUAAAAAGUGUCAAAUUUAUAUGGAUAGGAUUCAUGCAGCAGCAUCUCCAUUGCAUGUCUUGUCAGCACCAUGGCCAUUUUCUUUGUGGGGAAUUGAUGUUAUUGGACCCAUUGAUCCUAAAGCCUCAAAUGGUCAUCGUUUUAUUCUUGUAGCCAUUGAUUACUUCACUAAAUGGAUAGAGGCGGCAUCUUACUGCAAUGUUACAAGAGGAGUGGUACUCAAGUUUAUCAAAAAAGAGUUGAUCUGUCGUUAUGGUCUACCAGAGGGUAUUAUUACAGAUAAUGCCAAGAACCUUAAUAACAAAAUGAUGGACGAACUUUGUGAGAAAUUCAAGAUCAAUCACAGAAAUUCGACUCCAUAUCGCCCCAAGAUGAAUGGGGCAGUUGAAGCAGCCAACAAAAAUAUUAAAAGAAUUAUUGAGAAGAUGACAACAACAUACAAAGAUUGGCAUGAAAUACUACCGUUUGCAUUGCAUGGAUAUCGCACAUCAGUUCGUACUUCAACAGGGGCAACACCAUUUUCUUUGGUUUAUGGUAUGGAAGCUGUCCUACCUUUAGAAGUUGAGAUACCUUCAUUGAGAGUUCUCAUGGAAGCUAAGUUAGAUGAAGCUGAAUGGAUAAGAGGUCGUUAUGAGCAGUUGAAUUUCAUUGAAGAAAAACGUUUGACAGCAUUAAGUCAUGGACAACUUUACCAAAAAAGACUAAUGCGAGCAUACAAUAAAAAGGUACACCCUCGAAGUUUUCGAGAAGGAGAUUUAGUGUUAAAAAGGAUACUUCCAUUUCUAAAGGACCAUCGAGGAAAAUGGACUCCUAAUUAUGAAGGUCCGUUCAUGGUAAAAAAGGCAUUUUCAAGAGGAGCUUUACUUUUAACCAAUAUGGAUGGUUUUGAGUUAAAAAAUCCGGUGAAUUCAGAUUAUGUUCGAAGAUACUAUGCGUGAGCCCUUUUCAUAGAAAACUUCGUAGUGUUGAAGGAAGUCGGGGGUAUUUCUAGGAAACUUACAUUUAGUUCCUAGAAUGUUAUUUCCAUUUGUAUAAACUUCCCCUUAUCUCCUCUCUUUGUACUCCUAUUCCAAGAAUCGUUGUUAUCUUUUCAUUUCUUAUCAUAUAUAUCAAACACUUCUUUAUUUGUCAUUCCUUUCUUUCAUCCUUUUUAAAUGCCAUCAAAUUAGAGUAAACAUCCAUUAUUCAUUAGCCCAUUUGUUCUAUCUAUUUGUUAAUUAAUAAAGAUUCAGUACGACUUAUUGUAUUUGCAAACCAAGUAAAAGCCAUGAUUUUCUCUUGUUAAGACUUAAGGAAAUGUAGGCGUUUACAAGUCCAGACACAUUUCUCUAUGAUUGUGAGUUGCUGUAAUUGGAAGUCUACAUCCUAAAGGAUUCAUGUUUUGUGAAGUCCAAAACUAAAACAAUAUUAUGUUUUUACAACAUAGUACAAUCUAUCGCAGUUGGAUUCAUUUGUUUUGAUACGAAGAGAGGCGAGUUUGACAGCUUAAAAAAUUCUCGUGAUAUAUGUCUUAUUCUAUCCUAUGACGACAAUGCUCAUAAAUUGUUAAUGGUAUUGGUAAAAUGGAGUAGUGAGCUAUUUAUUCCUUUGAAAAGCACAAUAUAUUUAAAUUAAAUUUCAAAUAGUUUUAAAAGAAGGAUGAGUCCAGAUAUGAAGCUAUGAAGCUGAGGCCGAAGCCUGUCUAUCAGGUCCUUCCACUUUAUCAAACCUAGUCCUAGAGCUAAGGUUGAUUUUUUUUUUUAUUUUUUUUUCUUUUUUCUCUCUCUAAAAUAAAAAAGAUCGGCCAAAUACUUUAUCUAUUUCCUUUGUUCACCUUUAAAUAUUUACAGGAUGGACAAAGGGGGGCAAACUGUAGAUACCGUAUUUUGUCCUAUAUUUAUUUAUUAUAAAAGAAAAAAGAAAAAGAAAAAGAAAUUAAAUUUGAAUUUGAAUUUGAAUUUGAAUUUGAAUUUGAAUUUGAAUUUGAAUCUUAAAUUUAUAUUUAAAAAAAAUAAUAAUAAUAAUAAUAAAUACAUUUAAAAAUAAAUAAUAAAAAUAAAACUAAAAGGUUUGAUUUCCUUCCUAUUUUUUUCUCAACCAUCCCUUUUUCUUCGUCAUCACUCUCCCACUUUCUCCCACUCUAUCACUUUCUCCCACUCUCCCACUUUCUUCCUAUUUCUCUGUAAUCUGCACUCCAUCUCGUGAUCUAAAAAAAAGCAAUGGAGCUUGCCCUAUAAAAAGGAAAGAGGAAAAAGAAAACAGGGGGAUCUUUUUUUUAUUAUUGGAGGAUUUAGAAAGAGGGGAAGAGUGAAAGAAGAUCAAAAAGGAAUAACCUUUGGCAUUGAAGGGAAGAGUGAAAGAAGAUCAAAAAGGAAUAACCUUUGGCAUUGAAGGGCAGACCUGCUGGUAAGUUUUUUUUUCUUUUUCCUCUUUUUAUUCUUAUUCUUGUUUAAUGAUUUUUUUUUUUUCUUCUUCUUGUUUGAUAUACUGCUUUUAAUUAUGAACUAUCGUGUUCAUCAUUUUACCAUCAUUUAACAUGUUAAUUUUAUUAUUUGUAUCUUUCUUAAUACUGAGCAUUCUACCUUCCAUAUUAAAUUUUUUAUUUUUUAUUUUUAAAUAUUGAACAUUCUGUUCUGUGUUAAUUUCUUUUCAAUUGUUGUGUAUCCAUUCUGUGUAUCCAUUCUGUGUAUCCAUUAUGUAUAUCCAUUAUGUGUUAAUUUUUAAAUAUUGAACAUUCUGUUCUGUGUUAAUUUCUUUUUAAUUGUUGGGUAUCCAUUCUGUGUAUCCAUUAUGUGUAUCUAUUAUGUAUACCCAUUCUGUGUUAAUUUUUAUAUAUUGAGCAUUCUGUUAUGUGUUAAUUUUCUUUUAUUACUGGGCAUCUGUGUUAAUUUCUUUUUAAUUAAUUAGCAUCAUAUAUUUGUAUUUGGAUACUCAUUCUUCAUUGACACCCAUUUUACAGUUAAUUACUUAUUACUUAUAUCCAUAUGGCAUCCUUAAUAAUUAUGCAUAAUUAAUCAAUUAGCCUUUUGUAUUUGGUAAUACUCAUUCUUCAUUGGCAUCCAUUUUACAGUUUUUGUUAAUUACUUUAUCCAUGUAUCCAUAUGGGUAGGCAUACCCUGUUAAUAAUUACUGUUAUCCAUAUAUUAUCCAUGUUAAUAAUUAUGCGUGAUAUAAUUAAUAUUUGGCAACAACCAUUUUUCAUUUGGCCUAUUAAUUAAUUAGCAACUUGUAUGUGACAUUUUCACUCCCUCAUUCUAAUUAUUUGCAUGAUGUAUUAAUUAAUCAGUAUGCAUAUGUGGCUAUAAUUAUUUGAUAUUUAUUUGGUGUGAUUAUUUAUUCGCAAUAUUAUUUAUUUGUAUAUUGGGCCAAACCUACUUUAGCAUUCAACUGUUAAUUAUUAUUUGAUAUCCAUUUGGCCUCGUUUAAUUAUGCAUUAAUCAAUUAUUUUGCAUCCUGCAUUAAUCAAUUAUUUUGCAUCAUUUUGAAUUAAUUAAUUAUGUUGCAUAUGUUGUAUUAAUUAAUUAUCUUGCAUCCUACAUUAAUAUCUUUUACAUUUUGCAUAUAUUAUCAAUGUAUUUAUUUUAUCUCAGCAUAUUACACCUAAGUAUUUUUCAAAUUUCAUAAUGUUUUGUCAUUGUUAUUAUUUUUUUUUAUAAUAAUGUAAAUUGGAGAAAAAGUAUUGUUUUUUAUGGAUUUUAUAAUUUAAAAUCCAUAAAUACAUGAAAUUUUUCCGUUUGAAAUUUAAUUAAUAGAUUUUUUUUUUUAAAUUAACACAUUUCAUAUUUUAAAUGAGACUGAGUAGUAUUUUCUAUGAAUUUAUUAAUUCUAGAUAUAUGAAAUUUUUCAUUAAACACCUAUGAUAGAGAUUAAAAUAUCAAGUGUUGGUAUCUUAAUAUUCUUAAGGUGAAUAAAAAUAUUUUAAAACAAAAAUAAACUUAAUUUUUCUAAUGGCUCCUAUGCCACUCAUAAUCAUCAAUUCAUGCUUAGUUUUUACUUUCUUCGAUAUGAAUUGAUAAACAUGGGACAUUUAAACAAAACCUAAAUAAAAUUUUAUUUUGUGAACCUUUAUAAUUUAAUUUAAAAGAUAAAAUUGGGUAACCAUUUUUUUGGGUGUUGUAGGGUGCUAACACCUUCCCUACACAUAACUGACUCCCGAACUUAAAUCUCUGAAUGUACGCAGACCAUUUUUUUUUUUCUUUCUUUUUUUUUGGGUGACCAAUCACACCUUAAUAUGAUUGGUGGCGACUCCAAAAUUUUUUAUUAAAAUAAAAUAAACGGGGAGGUCGGCCGCUCCGCGUAGCGAUCACGUCGCGACAGAAGUCAAAGAAGCUUCUUGAUCAAUUUUGGGGAGAUGCAGUAACUUGUGUUGUUUAUCUCCUAAAUCGAGUUUCAACGAAAAGUGUGCAAGGUAUUACUCCUCAAGAAGCAUGGAGCGGAUUGAAACCAACUGUUCGUCACCUAAGAGUGUUUGGGUGUAUUGCUUACUCUCACAUUUCAGCUGAGAAAAGAGGUAAGCUAGAUGAUAAAUCAGAAAAAUUCAUUUUUGUUGGGUACAGUGAGAACUCUAAGGCCUACAGACUAUACAAUCCGAUAAGUAAGAAAGUUAUUAUUAGUCGAGAUGUCAAGUUCGAUGAAGCAAAAUUGUGGCAAUGGAAUGCACCAAAUGAAGACCAAAAUCCAUUACAUGUUGAUAUGGAUGUGAAAGAAAAUGCUCGAGACUUGGAGCUUGAAGUAACUCAACCACUGACUUCACCUUCUUCAUCACACUCCACAAGUGAUGAAGAAACUACUCCAAGGAAGACCAGAAAUAUUCAAGAGAUCUAUAAUACUUCAAGAAGGAUACUAGAUGAAGAACAUGUUGAUUUUGCUUUAUUUGCAAAUGUUGAUCCUGUAUACUUUGAAGAAGCAAUUCAAGAUGAAAAUUGGAAAGAUGCAAUGAAUCAAGAGAUUGAUGCAAUAAGAAGAAACGAGACAUGGGAGUUAGUAAAAUUACCAGAAAAUAAAAAGGCUCUUGGAGUCAAAUGGAUCUAUAGAACAAAGCUAAAGCAAAACGGAGAAGUGCAAAAAUACAAGGCCAGACUCGUUGUAAAAGGUUACAAACAAAAGUUUGGUGUGGAUUAUGAAGAAGUUUUUGCACCGGUAACUCGCUUGGAGACUGUUCGUUUGUUGUUAGCCCUUGCAGCAAAAAAUGACUGGAAAGUUCAUCAAAUGGAUGUAAAGUCAGCAUUCCUAAAUGGGUAUUUAGAGGACGAAAUAUAUGUUGAGCAACCCCCGGUUAUGCAAAGAUUGGAGAAGAAAAUAAGGUGUGUCGAUUAAAGAAAGCCUUGUAUGGGCUAAAGCAAGCACCAAGGGCUUGGUACAGUCGCAUCGACAAUUUUUUCUUAAAGGAUGGUUUCAGAAGAUGUCCAUAUGAACAUGCUCUCUACACCAAAGAAGAUGAAAAUGGUAAUUUCUUGAUAAUUUGUCUAUAUGUUGAUGAUUUAAUAUUUACGGGCAACUCAAAUAUGAUGAUUGAAGAAUUCAAAGAGAGCAUGAAAAAGGAAUUUGAGAUGACUGAUAUGGGUUUACUUCAUUAUUUUCUUGGUAUUGAAGUUAAACAAGGUGAUAAUGAGAUUGCAAUUUUCCAAAAGAAGUAUGCAAAAGAUUUGUUGAAAAAGUUCAAAAUGGAGAAUGCUUAUCUUGCCAGUACUCCUAUGGAAUUGGGUUUAAAGUUAAGUAAGCAUGAUGUUAGUGAAACUUUUGAUGCCACCAUUUAUAGAAGUUUGGUUGGAAGUUUAAUGUAUUUAACUACAACUAGACCUGAUAUUAUGUUCUCGGUCAGUUUAUUGAGUAGAUUUAUGACAUCACCAAAGAGAAGUCAUUGGGAAGCUGGAAAGAGAGUUCUUAGAUGCAUUCUUGGAACUGUUGAUCAUGGAAUCCACUAUAAAAGGAAUGUAGAUAAUGUUCUUGUUGGCUACAGUGAUAGUGAUUGAGGAGGAAAUAUUGAUGAUUUCAAAAGUACUUCUGGGUAUGUAUUUAAUAUUGGUUCUGGAGCAGUUUCAUGGGCAUCAAAGAAGCAAGAUGUUGUAGCAUUGUCCACAACAGAAGCUGAAUACAUUUAUUUGUCUGUUGCUAGUUGUCAAGCACUUUGGCUAAGAAAUGUACUACAUGAAUUGAAGUGUCCUCAAGAGAAAGGGAUCAUCAUCUUUUGUGACAAUCAAUCGAUCUAUUUCACUUUCGAAGAAUCCCGUUUUUCAUGGAAGAAGCAAACACAUAAACAUCAAAUCUCAUUUCAUCAGAGAAUUGAUCAAAGAUGAAGAAGUUUAUAUCAAGUAUUGCAAGAGUCAAGAUCAAGUUGUAGACGUAUUCACAAAAGCAUUAAAGACAGAUUGAUUCUUGAAAAUGAAAGAGAAGCUCGGAGUUUGGAAAGUCUAGCUUAAGGGGGCAUGCUAGAAAUUAAUAAGCUAGAUACAUUAUGGAUAAUACAUUAAUAGAUACAUUUCUAGUUUCAAGAUAAAUAUGCAUUUCUAGAUACAUGUAAUUAUUCAAGUACAUGAAUGGUAUGUAUACAUGUACUUCAUUUAUUUUGUGUCCUUUAGGAAGUGUCUCUUGAGUACUAUAUAUAGAGAUCAUUUCCUUCAUUUGUAUGCAAGAUAAAAGAAUCAAAUCAAUAUAAGCAAAUUGAGUUUUAGAAAGUAAGUGAGUUUCAAGAGAACAAUAUUAUUCUCUUGUGUGUUAUUGAGUUUUCUAAGAGAACAAGUUUCUUCUCUUAAAAGUUUGUGAGAUUUAGAGUAAAUUUAGAGUGGGCUCGUCAACACCUCCAACACUUUGAUACCAUUCAUAAUUGAUGCACCUACUGUCAAGGUGACCUGUUGUGACAUACAAUCAUAGAUAUUUUACAUAUAGUUUAGACAAUAACUGAGACAAAUAAAAAACCAAGAAGAAAAAAUAAAAGGAAAGUGAUAUGAAAGUUGAUAACCGUUCGCUAAUAUAUCACCUACUUACUUUUGAAGGUUUGUGUGUCCAUAAAAAAUAAUUCGUUAAUAUUAAAAGUUAAUUAUACCAAUUACAACGAAGUAUUUAUAUGUAAUAAGCAUUAUAGUAACUCGCGUAUAGCCUAAAUGAACAGCUAAGUGUCCCCUAGAUGGCAGACUCCCUCUCAAGAUAACUUAGGCUCUCCUAAUUAAUGUACCAAUAUUAGUAUCUUCACCUCAGUUUCCACUUCGUGAAUGUGAGACUCCCUCCCACCAAGAUAUUUUCUUUAUGAUCAAGUUCUCUUUGCUGAAAGAUCUUAGACUCUCCCUAAGAUAGAGAAUCUUUUCUCCUCGUGCUAAAGUAUGAGGCCCCCUAAGACCAAGAAUCUCUUCUUGGUGGCAAGCAACUAAUGAAGAACAUACUACAAAACAAGGUGAGCAAUGAGCAAUAACAUUAAAAACGCAAGGAUGCCUUGCAUGAAGAACGUACUGUAGUUUGCCAAAUAAACAAAUUCAUUUUCAAUAAACAAAUUUGGCAACCCUGAAAGAGUUUUAUAAUUUGCACUAAAAAAAUUGAUCCAUUAAAGAAAAUAACAAAAUAUCAGUUGUCCCAAACUGUAAAAGAUUUCAAAUAAAAAUAAGGUAAUGGCAUGAUUCCAUAAUAAGGAAAAUAUUUGCUGUGAAGUCUUAGAAUGUUAAAACUUUGCAGAAGAGAACAUAGCAACCGUCUGGUCUUCUAAAAUUAUAAUAUGCCAACUAACAAAUAUUAUAAAUAUUCUUCAUCUUCAUUUUCGCUACUUUGCAAUUUUAUCCAGAAUUAACUUUUUUUUACUUGGAUGUGAUAAAACUGUGGUUUUACAAAAGGUAUAAGGAUUAAUUCUUUAUUUUUUUUCAUUAUAUGGUAUUGUCCUUCUUUCUUUUUUCCUUUAUCAAGUAUUGUUCCAAGAUCGUUUAAAUUUAGUACAAAAUCGUUUAGAUCGAUACAAUGAUAAAAGAUCAUUUAUACUAGGUACAUGGUAUAAAAUUGUUUUUGACUAGACCGAAAGGAAUAUCGUGUACCAAGAUUGUUUAGAUUUAAUACAAAAUUGUUUAGAUUUGGUAUAAGACCGUUUAGACGAGGUACAAUAUUGUUUAAACUGAGUACAAUAGUACAUGAUUGUUUAGACGAGGUACAAGGAUACAAUAUCGUUUAGAUUAGGUUCAAGAUCGUUUAGACAGGAUACAAUAUCGUUUUUCGCACGUGUGUUGCUGAUUAAUCUUGAUAUGUUUUUGUUAUUUCACGGUGUGGGCUUUUUCCUUUUCAAAAUUAUUUUAUACUGGAUAAAUAUUUUUGUAUUUUGUUAUAUUUUUUAAUAAGGGGCAUUUUUAAAAAUAACAAAAUAAAUAAAAAUAUUUACAAGUUAUAGCAAAAUUUUAGAUUCUAUCAAUGACAUUUUCUUCUAUCACUAUAAGAUAUCAAUGAUUAUCUGUAAUAAAAUUUGAUAUCGAUUGUAAAUAUUUUGUAAAAUUUACUAUUUUUUAAAAUUUCCGUAUUAAAAAUACCUAUACAGUAUAUGACACUUUUUUUUUUUUUCCUUUUUAUAAUUAUGUAAAGAAAAUAAAUUUUAGAAAAGAUUUAUUUUCAAAUUCAGAAAAAUAUAUCAAUUUAUUUUAAAAAGGUUCAUUUUAUCCAAGUUGUUGACAAACAUUGUUAUCAAAGUUACUUAGGAUUGAUGGUAGAUGUCUAUUACCAUUGUCUGUCUAUAUCAUCGUCUAUAGUUGAAAGAAUACAUAUUUUGCCAUAUUUUUUAAUGGUUCUCUGCUAGAAUAAUAUUCCUUUUCGAAACUACACCUACAAAAUAAGAAAGCAACUGAAAGCAAAACAUAAGGAACAAUAAAAUAACAUAAUUUUUAUCUACAUGAAGCAUCUACCUCUUUUUCUUUUCUUUUCUUUUUUUUUCUUUUUACUUGGAAGUGAUAAAACCAACCCUGUACUCUACCUGCUGGCCAGCACAUUAGAACAACUACGACAAAAAAUUCUAAGAACAAGAAAAAAUAUGUAAUAAAAUAAUAUAGCUCAAGUUGUUUUAAAAUGGGAGCAUAUUAUUGAGAAUUUGUUGUUUGUGGGAGUGUUGUGUAAACCAAUUUUGUGAUCAUGGCUCUGGCUGGGAAGCUUGUGAGUGAAGUAGAAAUAAACACACCUCCCCAUAGAUUUUACAAACUCUUUAAAGAAGAAAUUAAUAGCAUUCCAAAUAUUUCUCCAAACUUAAUACAAAAAAUUCAAAUUCAUGAUGGGGAUUGGAGCAAACAUGGUCAUGGUUCCGUCAAGGUUUGGAAUUACACUAUUGGUACGUAUAUAUAAUCUUGUGACCUCUACAAUGAUAUAUUUUUCUUUUCCACUUUGUUUUAUUAUUAUUUGUUUUUUUAAUGAAGGACUUACUCCGCCUCUAAACAAUUAAUGGUUUCCUUUUCUUUGUGUUUAUAUGAAUUUUAAGAUAAUAGGGCUGAAGUUAUCAAAGAGCGAGUUGAAUUUGAUGACAAAAAACUUGUGGUAAGAGUAGUUGGAUUGGAAGGAGAUGUGUUUAAGCAUUACAAAACCUUCACUGGAACGUAUCAAGUUGUUUCUAAAGGACCCAAUCGUAGCGCCAUAAUAUUUACCUUGGAAUAUGAGAAACUUCAUGAUGGUCCUCCUUACCCUGACAAGUAUCAUGAGGCUAUGAAUAGCCUUGCUAAGGACAUUGAAUCUCACCUUAAAAAAUAAGGUUCAACGUGUUUUCUAACGUCCGCAAUAAUAAUACGAUAUGAAUAAGUAUGUUGUGUUAGGGUUGAUUCUAUAAGAUUGGGAGGAUUUUUGUAAUACUAAAUAAUGGUUAUCCUCGUGUAAAAUGAAAGAAACUCAAACAUAAUUUUGUUUUAAAUAAUAUGGACUAUGCUAUCUUCUGAUAUAAUGUAUGGUUUUUCUUGGCUAUUUUCUUUGUCACUUGCUGAACUCUUACAUAGUUUUCAUUUUCAAGUCUUACAUGAUGGUCCUCCUUACCCGCAAUAGUGCCAUGAGGCUAUGAAUAGUCUUGCUAAGAACAUUGAAGCUCACCUAAAGAAAUAAGGUUCUACAUAUGUCUCAAGUCCGUUGCAUUAUGAUAUGAAUAUGUUGUGUUACAGUUGAUUCUAUACGAUUAUGAGGAUUUUGUUAAAAUAAUAAUUGUUAUCCUCAUGUAAAAUGAAUGAAUUGAAGUUAAACUCAACUAUAAUUCUGUUUUAAUUAAUAUGUACUAUGCUAUCUUUUGAUAUGUAGUAAGGUUCUAAUUAUGCUAUCUUCUGCUGUAGUUCUUACAUAUAGUUUUCUUCACUUUCAAGUGGGUGAAAAAAUCAUCUUCUUUCUUUUGAGAGAGGGAAAGUUUAAAAGUGUACAUGAAUGUGAAUUAAGAAGUUGAUUUGAUGGCUUCAAUUUAAUAGGUUUUAAAUCCAUAUAACAUUGGGGGGAGGGAGAGAAAAAAUAGUCAUUAAAUCCGAAAACGCAUCUUGGGAGUCCCUUCCAUUGGGAAACUUUGGGUUUUUCACUCAGCCAGCUUGUUUGUGAGUAUGGUUAAUAAAAAGUUCUGUAGUUUUUGGCAUUCUAUGUUAAACAUGUAUAAUUUUUAUCUAAAUUAAUUUUGAGCUUCAUCCAAACUAACAGACAAACUAGAUAGCCCAACGAAGAUCUUAUAAUUUGGUGUUAAAGAUGAGCAUUGGAAGUUCUACUUUUUGUUUCCUACAACUAUUGUUUGUCUGAGUAAUGACAUAAGAGUGACCAAGAAACUUGGAAAAAUCUCAUGUACUAUUCUAUGGAGUGCGUCGUGAGAUUUCUCUGUGAAUGUUGAAUCUGAAGCUUUCAUUUUCUCCCCUGUUUUCGACCAUUCUAUUCAUAAGUUGUAUGAGAUAUCUCUGAUAUUUGAUUGGGUAGGUCUUGAUUGUUUCGAGAUUGUCCCACUUUGGGGUUGGGUCUUCAUAUCAUGGAAAAAUUAAAAACGUCGUAGAUUCAACAGUACUUAGUAGCAUGUCCCUCACUCUUCCUGUACCAUCGGAACCAACAUUCUUCAUGCAUAGUAACAUUGAUGAACCCAUCACACAGUCAAAGACAAAUCAAUAGUUGGAAAUGAAACGAGAAGGCUAGUGAUCAUUCUGAAAGCAUAUACCGCCCUCCAAUCUUUAUCUAAUGAUGCCUCAAUUAGUAAUCUCAAUCCUCGCUAGAUCUUUUAAUUUAUCCACUUUUUGUUAAAAAUAUGUAAUUUUGAAAGUUGUUUUUAGGUUGAUAUUUUAACAUUUGAUUGGUUGAAUUCAAUGUAUUAUUUAUUGUUCUAUGGAGUGAUCAAGCAAGAGUUGUGUUCUUGAAAUAUUGUUUGUCUAUAUUUCUAUUUAUUUAUUAUUGAAGUUAUGAAUGGUGACAUGAUUUAACUGCAACGUUAUAAAUUUGAAUUCAUAAAUCAUGAUGGCAUAAACAAAAUAAUAAACAUGAGGCAGUGUUGCCAGUUGGUUGCAGUUGCCCUAUCUUCUCUUUUUCUUUGCCUUUAAGAACAUUUCCAUGUCAUAUUUCAAAGUCUUCCAAUCUACCAUCAUAAACAACAUACAUAUAUAUUCUCUCCCAUUAGUGUUGAUCAUUAAUUUCUAAAUCUUAAGGGCCCGUUUGGUAACGUUUUCGUUUCCUGUUUCAUGUUCCAUGUUCCUUGUUUCUUCAUUUGUUAGAACAAGAAACAUGAAUGUGUUUGAUAACGGUUUCUACUUCUUGUUUCUUGAAAAAUAGAAACAGAAACAGAAAAUGUGUUUGAUAACUGUUUCUUAUUUUCUUAUUUUCUUAGAGAUUUUUUAUUUUAUUUUAUUCACAUCUAAUUCAAUUAAACAUUACACCACUCACUUUAUCAAAUCCAGAUAGGAAGGUCUACUAGUAAUCUUAUGAAAAUUAAGAUGGAGAUUGAGAUCUGAAGGAAAAAGCCAGCGAGGAGGAAGACAAAACCCACGAUGAAGAUGAGGAUUGAAAUCCACUGCGAAAACACAAAUCUGGCAGAACCCCACAGCGAAAAUUCAGAUCCGACGAAGAGGAAAACACCGUGUAGAGGAAGACGAUGAGAAGCGAGGAGGAAGAUGGAGAAGACAAUAAGAGGAAAAGGAAAAGGAAGACGAUGAAGGUAAAAGGAAGAAAAAGGAAACCACGCCAAGAGUGAUUAUUUGGGGAAGAAGAUGGAAAUAAAAGGAAACAAAUAAUUGAGAAAAAGGAAAAGGAAACCAAUAAAAAUAAUUGAGAAAAAUGAAAAGAAAACAGAUAAAAAUAAUUGAGAAAAAAAAGAAAAAAAAACCAAUAAAAAUAAUUAGAAAAGAAAAAGAAAACCAAUAAAAGUAAUGGAGAAAAAGGAAAAAGGAAACCAAUAAAAAUAAUUGAGAAAAAGAAAAAGAAAACCAAUAAAAAUAAUUGAGAAAAAAAAUGAAACAAAUAGAAAUAAUUAAAAAGAAAAAGGAACAAAUAAAAGUAAUUGAGAAACGGAACAGAAGAAACUACUUUUUUUUCAUAGUAAUUUCGUAUAAAAUGAAAAACGUUUCUACUUUUUUCAGAACGAGACACAGGGAACGUUACCAAACACAUCAAUUUCUUAAAAAGUGGAAACAGUAAAUAGGAAACAAAAAACGAGAACGUUAUCAAACGGACCUUAAAUGAUCAUCAUAGGGAUUGUUUCCAAAGAUUUUUUUGGCGUUGUGAGUUUUACUACAAUUUUAAUAAAAAUGUUUAAUUUAAAAGGUUAAAGUACUAUUUCAUUUAAUUUUUCCACGUUGUAUUUGUCGAUGUGUAGUUUAAGACUUGUUUCAUUUUAGUCAUGGUACUUGUAUGUAUGUCUGAUUUAACUUUUCAAUAUAAUUUUAACAUUAGUAGUUUAAGAUUGUGUUUUUUUUCUCAACACACCACCUCGACGUGCUCAUGGUCCUCCAAGAUCUUGAGUAGUUUGUAGAAGAAGUCGUUCACCUAUUAGAAGACUAGCUCAAUCAUGCUCUAGAUCAUUUUUACCGCGAAGAUAACUUGAUGCCUAACCAAAACUUUUGUCACCACCAACCUAACUGCCUUUUCAAGGAAGACUACUAGUUUGAAAACACAUACGUUUGGCUCUUUUAAGGAUCAUAUAGUUUCAAACUUCUUUUUAUUGAUUUAUAGUUGUUUACUAUUUAGACUUAACCAUUCAAAUCAAAUCAAAGUUUUCUUCAACCAAAAUUGAGAUUGGGCUACUUGAUUAUCAUUGCAUUUAGGACAUAUUUUCCCCCUUUUAUAUUUGUAUUUUCUUCUUCUUGUGUACUUCAAUUGGGAGACCUUUAUUACUCAAACAUCUUAAUUUGUAGUUUCACACGGUUUAAUAAUUCCUAAAAUAUGUACUUAUAACAUUACUCUGGGAUACUUUUUAUCACUUUUUAUUACUAUUUUUAUGUGUCCCGGUAUUCUUUCAUAUUAAACCUGAAAACGAUAAUAAUUACUCAAUAACUUCUCUUAGCAUUUACACUUGUGGAUAAUUCAUGGAUGCACAAGAGAAGGUUAUCCAAAUAUUAUGAAUUGGGUGUAGAAAACUAAAUCAAUUUUGGAUUUUCUAAUACAAAUAAUGCCUCUAUUUGUUGCCCUUGUUUGAAAUGUGUGAAUUGUGAAAAAUAAAGUCAUACUACUAUUAGAGAUCACUUAUAUGUCAAUGGAAUUGAUGAAAGUUAAUUAUAAAAUUUGGUUUUGGCAUGGUGAACAACUACCUAACUCAUCCUUAUAUGAAAAAUCUUCUAAGUUUGACACCUAUAUAUACGAAGAGAACGAUGUUGGAAAUAUAAAUGAAAUGAUUGAAGUUGCUCGUGAGGAAUAUUCAAAAGAUCCAAAUGAAUUUGAAAAAUUGCUUAAUGGUGCUGAAAAACCAUAAUAUGAACGAUGCAAAAAAUUCAUCAAAUUGUCCACAUUAGUCAAGUUGUAUAAUUUAAAAGUUAGGUAUGGAUGGAGUGACAUUAGCUUCUUAAAACUACUAAAAAAUUUAAAGAAAAUUUUUCCUACUGCCAAUGAGAUCCCAAUAUUAAUGUAUGAAGCAAAUAAAACUUUAGGUGCUCUAGGAAUAAAUUAAGAAAAGAUUCAUGCAUAUGCAUAACCUAAUGGUUGUUGUUUGUGUAGAAAAGAAUACACUAAUACAACUAAAUGUGUCCUAAAUGUGGUGAAUCAAGAUGGAAGUAUGCUAAUAAUGCAAGCGAAUGGAAGAAACAAAUUCCAUGAAAAAAGUUGUAUGAUACUUUCCACUAAUUCCACGUUUCAAAAGAAUUGUUUCAAAGUGUUGACUGUGCUAAAAAUUAGAUUUGGCAUGCUAAAUGAGCGAAUAGUAGAUGAAAAUUUACGACAUCUUGCAGACUCUUCAACUUGAAAAUUAAUAGAUUUAAAGUGGCCAGACUUUGGUUAUGAACCUAGGAAUAUUCGUUUAGCAUUGCCAAUUGAUGGAAUCAACCAGCACGAUGAAAGGAGUUUUAAAUAUAGUUCUUGGUUCGUAGUGAUUGUCGCGACGUGAUCGCUACGAGGAGCGGCCGACCUCCCCGUUUAUUUGAUUUUAAUAAAUAGUUUUGGAGUCGCCACCAACCAUAUUAGGGUGUGAUUGGUCACCCAAAAAAAGAAAAAAAAAUGGUCUGCGUACAUUCAGGGAUUUAAGUUCGGGAGUCAGUUGUGUGUAGGGAAGGUGUUAGCACCCUACAACACCCAAAAAAUGGUUACCCAAUUUUAUCUUUUAAAUUAAAUUAUAGAGGUUCACAAAACAAAGUUUUUAUUUAGGUUUUGUUUAAAUGUCCCAUGUUUAUCAAUUCAUAUCGAAGAAAGUAAAACCUAAGCAUGAAUUGAUGAUUAUGGGUGGCAUAGGAGCCAUUAGAAAAAUUAAGUUUAUUUUUGUUUUAAAAUAUUUUUAUUCACCUUAAGAAUAUUAAGAUACCAAAACUUGAUAUUUUAAUCUCUAUCAUAGGUGUUUAAUGAGAAAUUUCAUGUAUCUAGAAUGAAAACACUACUCAGUCUCAUUUAAAAUAUGAAAUGUGUUUAUUUAAAAACAAUCUAUUAAUUAAAUUUCAAACGGAAAAAUUUCAUGUAUUCAUGGAUUUUAAAUUAUAAAAUCCAUAAAAAACAAUACUUUUUCUCCAAUUUACAUUUUUAUAUUUAAAUUGAAAAAUGAAUAAUAACAAUGAUAAAACAUUAUGAAAUUUGAAAAAUACUUAAAGGGUAAUAUGUUGAGAUAAAAUAAAUGCAUAAAACAAAUACAGGAUAAUGUAAGCAAUACGCAAAAUGUACAAGAUAAUUAAUUAAUACAGCACAUGAGAUAAUUAAUUAAUGAAGAAUGAUGCAAAAUAAUUAAUUAAUUCAAAACAUGUAAAAUAAUUAAUUAAUUCAAAAGGAUGCAAAAUAAUUAAUUAAUUCAAAACGAUGCAAAAUGAUUAAUUAAUACAUAAAGGUGAAAAAUAAUUAAUUAAUGCAGAAAUAGGCAAAUUAAUUAAUUAAUUCAGAAAUAUGCAAAAUAAUUAAUUAAUUCAGAAAUAUGCAAAAUAAUUAAUUAUGCUAGACCAGAGUAAUAAAUAAUUACUUGAGGAUGUCAAAUGGGUGAAAUAAUAAUUAACGGCAGAGUGUCAAAGUAGGUUUAAUGCAAUAUGCCAAUAAAUAAUCACAGUAGCCAAUGGAUGUCAAAUAGUUUUAGUGAUUAAUUAAUUAAUACAGAAUACAAAUAAUUUGAAUGAGUAAUUGACAUAAGAGACCAAAUGAGUGCCAAAAUAAUUAACGAUAUGCAAAUAAUUAGCUCACAAUGGAGGAUGUCAAAAAAUUAAAACUGUCAAAUACAUUGUUCUAAUUAAUUAACCAUGCAUAAUUAAAAGAGUAUGUCAAAUGAAUAGUUAUUUUCAAAUGCAUAAUUAACAUAUAUGCCAAAUGGAUAAUUAUUAAAGCAAGAUACCAAAUAGAUACACACAAUUAACACAGAAUGUAAAAUGGGUGUUUAGAUAAUAAAAAAGAUAGCAAAUAAUUAAAUCAGUAUGCCAAAUGGGUGUCAAAUAAGUGUUAAAUAAUUAAGACAUCAAUCAAAUAAUUAACACAUCAUUUAAUUAAUUAACCAAAUGAACACUACUACAAAAUCUACUUUACUUGACACUAUGUACUUUUACAUACUUGACAUUUUUAUUAAAAAAACGUCAAGUAAUGAUCAUUUCAAAAGAAAAGCGUCAAGUAUAGUUUAAAAAAGGGGAAACUUUCACGAAAGUUUUCAAACUAUUUUACAUUAGUUUUUACUUGACGUUUUUUUCGCGUCAAGUAUAAGAGAGAUUUUACUUGACGUUUUAUUCGCAUCAAGUAUAACGAACUUUUACUUGACGAGAACAAAAUGUCAAGUAUAACGAACUUUUACUUGACAUGAACAAAACGUCAAAUAUAACGAACUUUUACUUGAUGCGAACAAAAUAUAAUGCAUAAUUUACUUGACGUUUUGUUAGCUUUUACUUGACGUUUUUUUAGUUUGAAUACAGCAAAAUUUCAUGAAAUUUUGAAUUAUUUUACGUUAGCUUUUACUUGACGUUUUUUUCCACGUCAAGUAUAAUGCAUAAUUUACUUGACGGUCUUUUAGUGUCAAGUAUAAUGCAACUUUUACUUGACAUCUUUUUCAUGUCAAGUAUAGUUAACAUUUUUAUUUUGUCAAGUAUAAAAAUAUAAAAAUACUUUUUAUUUCCCUCUUUUAAAUUUUUUUUAGUUGGAUUUCUACCAACGUUUAUUUUAAUUUAUGGUCAAGUAUCAUGUGUGGAUAAAUAUUUUAAACAUUUGUCGACUUAAUUUACGUGGCGAAAGAUCCCACACCUUUUAGACAUAUUUAUGCCAACGUAAUUUACGUGACGAAAGACCCUAAAUUUUUUAUAUGCAUUUAUGACGACUCAAAAUUUAUACAUAUGACAGCGAAAAUAACAUGAGCAUAUGUUUUUUUUUAAAAAAAAAAAUAUAAUUUCAGUUUUUAUGUUCUUUAAAAAAAAAAAAACAUAAUCAUUUUUUUAUGUUUUUUUUUUUAAAAAAAACAUAAUUUCUUUUUUACUUCUUCCUCAUUUUUUACUUUUUCCCUCCAACAUUUCCCUCCCACUUUUCUCUCUCCCAUACAACAUUUCCCCCCAAUUUGCCGCCUCCUCUUCUCACAGAACGCAACCCAACCACUAUCCUUCCGAUUUCCCUCUUCCUCUUCUCACAACCUACCAUCUUAACGCCGCCGCUACCCUUUCUCGAUUUCCCUCUUCCUCUUAUCGCAACCCACCAUGCAAAUGUCGCCGUUAUCCUCCCCAUUUCCCUCUUCCUCUUCUCGCAACCCAGCAUUCGAACGUCGCUGCUACUUGCUACCAUCUGAAUGUCGCCGAACGCCACUGCUAUCUGCUAGCAUUUGAACGUCGUUGGAGGCCGCCACUCCUUUGCUCACCAAACUCGUCGUAAGUGCUCCAUUCGUUGCAGCUCACCCUAAGUAAGUUUAACUUUAGUUUAUUUAUCAAGAUUUCAAAGCCUCCAACAUUUUGCUUGAUUGUAUAAGAUAUUGAUAUAGAUUAGUAUAUUGUUAUUGUGUGUGAAACCAAGGUUAAUGUAUUCCUAUAAUUGAAUUGUAUUUUUUUUCAAGAUUACUUUGCUAUAUGUUUUUUAAGAUUACAUUGUGUGCAAGGAUAUAUCGAUUUUGCAAAGCUAUAGUUUUUCUAAUUUUCUUUCUUCACUACUAAUUGGAAACAUUAUUUGUAUUCCCAUACUUUGAAUUUUUUGAAGAACAUAACUUGGUUAUGAUAUUUGAUGUCUAGCAAAUUAGUGAUUUGAAGCACAGAAGCCGUGAGUCGUGUCAGUUUGUUUUGUUUAUUUGUUUUUCUUUUAAACUAUAUUAUUUAUUCUUUUAGAAACCAAGCAACAAUAAAGUCAUAGUUUGCGACGAGAAAUUGAAGAACAUAUUUGGAGGGAAAAAUGAGGUUGGAUUUUUGGAGAUUGUAGGUUUGAUAAGUACUCCAGACUUUCUAUAAUUAUUCAAAGUAUGGAAGAUAAACAUAAUAUGGACCUUCUUUUUAGUCCAUGAAGAUUAACUUUUUGUUUUGUACAAGGGAAGAGUACUAACUAUUGCUAUCGGAAAAUGUUUGCUUGAUUCUAAAAUCUUGGUUUGUUCCAUUCAACGUGACUAACAAUUUUUAAUAUGUAGGAUGAAUUUAUUUUUCAUGUAUUUUGUUACAUAACUUAGGUUCACUCGUGAGGGAUUAAUAUCAAGCUAGUGGAUGAAUACUUAUUGGAUCUUGAAAGGAGAUUUAAAGGUAUAGAUGUCUACAUCUUUAACUAGCCCUUCUUUUUUUUCUUCUUUUUUUGUGCUUUUAACUACCCUUCUUAACAAUGUUAAUUGUUCCAAAUUAAGCAAUCGGUUAUAUUUCUCUCCUAAGUAAAAGACAUUUAAAGUUGUGUUAAUUAGGGUCAUGGCUUUUUAGAUUUUCUUAUAUUUUAUUGGUUGCUAUUCACAUCUUAUAUUUUAUUGGUUGCUAUUAGUUGGACUGGUCAUUAAUUGUUGCAUAAGACAGAUUUAUCUUGUACAACCUUUCUAGAUCUUGUACGAAUUUUCUCAAUUUGCUACACGAACUUUAGAAUUUUUGUCGAUUGGAGUUCUUUUGCUUGUUUGAUUAUUUGAUCGACUAGUUAUUUUGUUUUUCACAUUUUGAAUUGUUUUGUAGUGAAGGCAAAAAGGUGAAUUAAUAGUUUUGAGUAGAUAUGGUUUCCUUCAAAAUGAUUGACCGCAAGAGUGAGUUUAAAUUUUCUCUUAAGGAUAUAUUAUUUUUUUAUUUUGUUUAGUGGAUCGGUUUCAUAUUUGAAAUAUUUAGUUAUUGGUUUAGGGUUAAGCUACUUGGUUAGUACAAUCUUAUUGGUUUGUUUUGUUUGUUUUUUGGUAUUUAGAAUGAUUAGGGCAGAGUGUUGUUCGUUUAAGGGAUUGAAUAUUGUGAAUCGGGCUUUAGUCAUUAAUCGUUAUGUAAUUACGAUGUUAAUCUAGUAUUUUUGCUUCUCAUCUUUGCCUCGAUACUUGGAGUUUCAUUAUGGUCAUCAACUCAUUCACUUAGUUUAGUGUGUAGUUAUGUGAGCCCUAGGUUUCUUAGAGAUUAUGUGUUGCAUAUUUUGUUAGGAUUUCUACGUCUACGCUUAGCAAUGCUCAUGCAUAAAAGAGAGAAGGUACGUGAUUUUUUCUAAUCAUUUUGUUUCUUAUAUGAAUUGUUUUUGUAAUGGCAUUAAUGAUAAAUUUGGCUUAAGACUACGAGGAUUUGUGCUCAUUUUUUGGUCUGUGCUCAUUUUCAAAUCCAUAAAAUAAGUGCAUUAAGAAUUUUUAUAAAUGGUUAUAUAUAUUAUUUAACUAAUUAAACUUGUUGAUUUAGUGGUGAUCCAAUAUUUGAGCCAUGAAAUUAAUAGUGUUUAGACUAGAUUUGUGUUCAAGUAUGUGAAUUAUCAUCACUUGUUGUGGCUGAGAGAAAAAUGCAAUGAUCCUUUCUCUUGAAUCUUGAUUGUUGUAUUGUGUAGGAAGAGAAGGCUAUUGACCGUGGAAUUCUUUCCUUGCUCCAACCUGCAACUUUGGUUCAAACUUUUGGACAAAGGAACCAUGUUUGCUUGAACGAGGGUCCAUCAUUGUUCCUCCAUACUGUCCUCCCUAGAAAAUGAAAACCCACCUAAUCCCCCUUGAAACUCCUUGCUCUAUCAUCAUCUAUUUUCGUGGAUUGUUUUAUGAUGUUAACAAUGACCCAGAAGGUGCGUGUUGGUUAUGUCAUUAUUAGUUUUUUACAUUCCUAGAAUAGAACAGGGUUGAAUACAACACUAAUAGGGUAUAGAAGUUCGACUUUGUUGUGUUUUGACAAUUUAAUUGAACCUACAGAGGUGCAAGAGCAGUUGUGUGGGAGAACUUGAAAAACAAUCCUCUCUUUAAUAUCUUUACCGACCAUCCAACGACGUAUUAUGAAGAUAUGCACAGGGAAAUAUUUUGUUUAUGUCCUCUUGGACAUCUCUAUCAACCAUCCAACGGCAUAUUAUGAAGAUAGCUAUUAUUAUUGAUUUAGAACAUGCCACAUAUAGUAAAUUUUAGCUAACUAUAUUGGAUUGAAAUUGUGUAAUUGUUGAUGACAUUGUUGAGAUUAAUGAAAUUAUUGUUGGUUUAUUAAUUAUACUAAAUUAUUCAUCAUUUUUUUGUUAUAAAUCUACUAGUUGAAUAAUUUAUUUUGUUGAUGGAUAUGUUUUAUUGAAUGAAUGUACCUAAUGCAAGAAAUGAAAAAUUGUGUAUUAAAUAUAUUAAUAAAUGAUAUACUUAACAUUAAAUACAUGUCAAAUAUACUAUUUCACUUGAAUUAAAUAUAAAAAUUUACUUGAUGGAUAAAUAGUGUCAAGUAUACUAUCUUACUUGAUGGGUAGAUAGUGUCAAGUAUAUUAUCUUAUUUGACAUGUAAAUAGUGUCAAGUAUAUAAUCUUACUUGACGUGCAAAAACCGUCAAUUAUAGGACUUUAUUUGACACGUAAAAUGCGUCAUUUAUAUGACCUUACUUGACACGUAAUAAGCAUCAAAUGCGAUAGAUUACUUGACGUUAAUACAAUGUCAAGUAAAUGUAUACUUAACAUUUUUUUAGUGUCAAGUAAUGCGACUAUACUUGAUAGUCGAUUACUUGACGCUUCUAAAAACGUCAAGUAUACGUUUACUUGACAAUGUAUUCACGUCAAGUAAACCAAUUUUUGUAGUAGUGGAAAUAAUUAACAUAGCACCCAAAUGGAUGCCAAAUAAUUAAUCAAGAACACACUUAUUAAUUAAGGUAGUAGCCAAAUAGAUGCAAAACAACUAAUUAAUCAGCUCAGCGAUCAAAUAGUCAAAAUGGGUGUCAAAUUAAUUAGCAUGCAGAACUCAGCAAUCAAAAUACUCCAAUGGCCAAAUGGAUGUCAAAUAAUUAACGAGGAUGCAGAAAAUUAAUACAUACCAAAUAAUUAACAUAGCAUUGGCAGUAUGCUAAUUAAUUAACCAAAUAUUUAAUGCCAAAUCAGAUAAUUAACUCACAACAUUCAAAUGGGUGCCAAAUAAUUAAACGGAUGCGGAACUCAUCCAUCAAAAUAGUCAAAUGGCCAAAUAGAUGUGCAUAAAUAAGUGUAAUCAGAUGCAAAACACUAAUUAAUUAGGGCAGCAAUCAAAGAGUCAAAUGGGUGCCAAAUAAUUCAAAUGAUGCAAAUAAUUAAAAGAUGUGAAAUGAGUGUCCAAUGAUUAACACACCAGCUAAUUAAUGAGUGAUUUAAAUGAAUAAUUAAGACAGCACCUAGAUGGGUGGCAAAUAAUUACUGGGUGCCAAAUAAUUAAGCCAGUAUCAUCAAACAUGAAUUAAAAAAAAAGAACUUACAAGGUCUGCCUUAAAUGCAAAAUGUUCUGGGUUGAUCCUCCUCACCUCUUCCAAAAAAAAAAUCUUUUACGUGUCCCUCUUCUCUACCAAAUAAUUCUCCAGCAAAAAAAAUUCUCCCCCCACAUUGAAUCUUCUCAUUCUCUUUUUAUAGGGAAAUGUCUCCUUUUUUUAGAUAGAAGUGAAGUAGGUUUAGAUAGUGAAAUGGAGUACAGAGAAAUGUGGAAGAGGGAGAACGUGAGAGAUUGGGGAAGAAGGUGGAAGAGUGGGAGAACGUGAGAGAUUGGGAGAAUGUGGGAGGGUUGUGACUCAUGAAAACAAGGGAUGGUUGAGAAAAAUAGGGAGAAAAAAAAAUCUUUACUUUUAAAUUUAAUUUUAAAUAUGCUUUUAUUUUUGUUUUUGUUUUAAAACAUAAAUUUAAAAAUUAAGAUUUAAAUUUAAAUUCAAAUUCAAAUUAUUUUAAAAAAAUAAUAAUAAAUAAAUUAAUGAAAAAAAUAAAAAGGCAGGACAAAAUACGGUAUCUACAGUGAUAAUUUUUUAUAAUCUUCCACCCUAGUUGUGCAUGAAAAGAAAGCUCAUGAUGUUAUCAAUGUAUAUUUUUCAAUCUGAUAUGUAAUAAAGUCAUUGAUGUGCAACAAUAGAAAAAGUUGGAAGAAGAUGUUGUGGUGAUUAUGUGUCUGCUAGAGGAAUAUUUCCCUCCAUUUUUUACCAUUUUGAUGCAUCUCACUGUACACAUUAUUAGAGAAGUCAAACUUUGUGAGACUGUAUAUUCAAGAUGGAUGUAUCCCUUCGAAAGAUACAUUAAAGUUCUAAAAAACUACUUGAGAAAUAGACAUCAUUCAAAAUGUUAUAUUGGAUGUUGUUGUUGUUUGUCUUUUCGUGUAGGUGGAUUUCGAAUCUUGGAUCAUUAUUUUCAUGUUAAAAAUAAAAAUACAUUUAUUUAUCAGUCAUUUUAGUUUUUUAAAUGUUAUUACUCUAAAUUUGGGAGCUAAAACUGCUAAAAAUAUGUCAUUAUUUCUCGAGAUCUAAAUGUGUUUUUGGGUUGUUUUUUCUUUCCAUUUCAUCUCUAACAAGAUGUUUGAAUAGGUGUCAUAAACUUGAAAAGCAACCUAUGAAGUUUUGUUGUUUACUUCUUGAUAUACACAGAAAUAUCGAAGGAUCUUACCAAACUAAUAACCUAACAAAAUAACAAAUUUUAACAACAAAUAAACAAAAUAUAGUCAUAAAUUAGAUGCACAUAAUUAUCCCCCCGCCUCAAGCUCACAAGGUAGUACAGUAGAGACUAGCUUGAGUUCGCCAUGUAAUUCAUUGAACCGAGCAAGGUAAAGUACCUUGGUGAAAAUAUAUGUUGGUCGUUGUUUUGCACGAUACUUAGACUCGUUGUUUUGCAACAUCAAAUGGAAGAAGAUGUUGUGGUGAAAAUAUCUGUUGGUCGUUGUAUUUGUGAACUUACGAACCAUCCAUGCCCCACCUUAUGCACGUAAAUACCAACCACAAGACAAAUCCUUACAAUGAAUAUCAAAUAAAGUAUGAUUUGACCAAAUCGUAGUAAGUUCAAAACUAUUAGGAAGAGCAAACAAAUAAAUAGCUUUUUCAUACAUUUUUUCUUCUAAACAAUGCGCCUUUUUAUGAGAAUAUCAGAUUGUGAGGAUUCAAAAGCUAAAAAAUCAAUUGUUUUGGAAUUUAGAUUUGACUGUUAGACACAAUGCACAAUUCUUGUUAACCCAUAAUUCAAAUACAUUGUAUUUUCCAAACUGCAGAAGACAUGAUGUCAAUAACCACACAUAAAAUUGUUACAGGGGAAUUUUGAUGUAAGUAAAACUAACAUAAGUUACAAUCUAUUCUUAUCUUCAACCAUUCGAAUAAGAUUAGAAUUAUUGUAACCAUCCUAGUAAACCAUCAAAUGAGAAACAACAAGGAAUUGUAGGAGUGAAAAAGCUACCUUGAAUAUAAUCAGCAAAUUGUUGGAAUGAAUAAUCAAAUGAAAUAUAGACUUCACCAACACGAUAAUCUUGAGAUUAUGAAUUCUCAUUUCAUUUAUUUGUUGUAGAACCAUAGCAAACAAGAAAAAAAAUGAAAAAGUAGAUAGUUUUUUGUUUGUAAAAAGGGUAAAAAUACAUUCAUUUUGCCACUUGUUUGAAUUUUAGUUAAAUGAUGUUUUUCACAUCAAAUCAAAUCAUUUAGGUUAAUCAAAGAAAUCUUUUGAUCCUCUUGUUAAAUGAAUAAAUCUAUUAUUUUGAUAUUAAGAAAAAAACUAAAUCUUUACUAUUUUUUAAACUUAGUUAAUGAGAUAUUUUCAUAUUUUUGAAAAAAGAAAAACCAAAUAAAAUCUUCAAGUUGGUUUAUGACUUAUUUUCAAUUAAAUCAAGUCAAAUUAAUUUUCGGUUAACGAAAAAAAUACUUUGAUAUUUUAAAAAAUUAAAAUAAUUUUUUAAAAAUAAAUAAAAUAUUUUCGGUUAGAUAAAAUCAAAUCUAAUACAAAAAUUACCAAUUCAAAUUUAAAAAAUGGGAGAAAAUUAUGACUCAUUUCUCUCCAAUCUAUUAGAUUGCAAACACCUUUUAUUAGACUACUCAUCUAUUGAAAAUUGAAAAUUGAUGCAUGGUCUUUCCAUAAAAUACAAAGUAAUUGAAAAGUCAAAUGUUCGUCUAUAAUAAGGUGUAAGGCCCUGAUCCCAAAAGGGAGUCCUGUUCAAGAAGAACUCGAUUAAGAAAAGUUGUUUUGACCAAGUGUAGAAAGAAGCAUUAUAUAAAGAAGGUUUAGGGUUUAGGGUGAUGUGAAAAGAAGUAUUUGAGUCUAAAAGUCAAUGUGUGGAAUUAGGUAAUGUGUUGAGGCUGCUGACAAAGAAGAAGUUGCACGUUUAACACCAAGGACAACUAGGCGAUUGGAGUAGCGAUGCGGUAAAAAAGUACCUACGCUUAAGAGUGUGGCAAUAGGGUAGGUGUUUGGUUGAAAUGACUAGACAACCCUCUAAAGAAGAGUAAAAUUUUAAUGUUUUUUUAGCAGAGAGUCUGACGAAUUAAAGAAGUUUAGCUUGCCAAGAAGAUAAGGUUGACGUCUCAAGAAAAGUGUCUAUUUGUAGCUGACGUUUGACUUACGUGUCAAGUUUAGGUUGGCUGCAUUGCAUGCGAAAUAGAAAGGUGACACGUGUAAAGCAGAGAAGUGACACUUGGAAGUGAAAAAUAAUUACAAAUAGGACCAAAAUCUGAACGAAAAAAGGGAAAACAUAUUUGCUAAACGUCCACUAAGUUGUUAAGAGUAAAGUUUUUAGUCUUGAAAAGCCCGUUCAAGGAAACUACUAGGCAAGAAGAGGAAGCCAUAAGCCAAAAGGAAAAAGAAUUUAGGGUAAGUGUUGUUGUGAGUGAUCUAUACAAAAGAAAAUGUUUGUUGCAAAAUGAUUUCAUAUCUUUCUAAAUGAAAGCAUGUUUUUUAAAUAGCAUUCUUUUGAAAUCCCUUCGUUGAUGCUUGUUGUAUCAUAUCUAUGUUAUGUGUUGAAGCUGAUAUAUGUUGAACUAAUGCCUCUCAUGUGAUAUUGGUGUUGUUUAUGCAACGAGUAAGGGUGACUGAUCUAUUGCAAGAAGUUGGUAGAAAUCCAAACUUUAACACAAGACGUUGGUGAGUGUGAAUUCAAAGUCUAGGAGAGUAAAUGUUGGUGAAAGUGAACCCUAGGUCUGAGCAAGUAUGAGUUGUGUUCUUGAAAGGCUAGAUCCUGGUGAGUGUGAAUCCCAUAUCUGAGAUGAUGUUGAAUAUUACAAGACACUAACGAAAAUCCCAGGUAAAUCGCAAGACACUGAUGAGUGUGAAUUCCAGGUCCAAGAAAUGCAAGAAUUCCAAGUGCAAGUGAUGAGUAGUGAAUGCUUGAUCGCAUAAAGUGCAUGGAAUCAUUGUAUAUUUUUCGUGGUUGUGUUUAAUGAGAUAAAAGCUCGUGUUUAUGGACAUAAUAUUAAUGUUGUUAUUGAAUUUGUUGUAUUCCCAAAAAGGUUUUCCUAACCCCAUCACUCAUUAAGUCUUUAACUUACAUUUUAAGUUUUUCCUCCAAAGGUUGUUAGGCGUUGAGGCCAAGUAAGAAAUGGAGGUUAGGCGUAAAAGGCAAGUAAAUAAAGAAAAUGAGGGUUGUUAUGUAAACUUAUGUGCCGUCUAAGUUGUGUCAUCCUACCAUGCGUCUAAGGAUUCAUUGGGUAAGAACUUUACUCCUUAAUGCCAGGGGCUCUCGCUCACAUCGAGAAAAGGUCAUUUGAUACAUCAAGGUUGAUGAGGUCAAAGAUGAUGUGUAAUGACCCAACUCUUUAUACUAAGCUAAGUUUAUUACUAAUAAAAUAAAUAACAAAUUUUGCAUUUAAAAGAAAGGGAAAAAUUAAAUUCUCAAUCAAAAUGCUUUAAAUAAUCUUUCAUAGUUCAUACUUUGUAAAGGUAGGAAGAAAUACUAGAAAAUUUAGUACUAGUUGGGGCUCUAUCUAACUUCUAAAGAAAAUAACGUAAAAGUAAUUCACCAGUUUGAUAAAUUUAAAUAAAAUAUUAAAAACAUGAAAGAUGGAAGCAACAUAAGAUAUUUUCUAUGGUAAGUCAUGGUCACUUCUUGUCAUUCACUAGCUUUCCUCUACUUCUACCUCGGUCGGAAAAAUUAAACAUAGAAAAAGUGAGUAUAAACAUAUGCUCAAUAAGGGACUCACUACUAGUCUCACUAGGUGUCUAUUAACUUCUCAUUAGGGUUCUGCAAGGAAGUACCCCAAAAUUAUCGUGUUCCCAAACACACACUAUCUAGUGAUCCCGUAGGAACACAUCUGAUCUUCGGUGAACCCAAAGGAACACCUAAGAGAAACUAGUUUUCGGUAAACCUAAAGGAAACACCUAAGAAAAAUUGGUCUUUGACGAACCCGAAGGAACGCCUAGUGUACGUGACUCUAUUAGACCACUCAUAAACAUAUCAGGACAGACUGGUUGUCUUGUCAAACCACACGGUCAUAAAAAUGUGGUGAUCCCAAGGGACACUCAUAUGGGUAUGAGCCUAAUAGAAAAAGUUAGCAAAACACCACAGUCCAUAGCAUGUAGUAUAUCCUAUAACAUGGCAUGAAUAUCAAUCGUAACGUCCUUAUGAUGUGAUUAAUAUAUCAUGCACCAUAACAUAUUAGUCCUAUCAGUCAUAACAUAUUAGUCAAAUCAGUCACAACAUAUCAAUCAUCCAUAAUAGUCACAUUAUGCAUCUUAACUACAUCAAUGCAUAAUGAAAAAUACAUGCAAGCUCUUAAUAUUACUUAGCUUACAAAGGUCUAGUAGUAGAAUCUCUUAUAUGAGAUUAGCUUAACAAAAAUUAUUCCUAAUAGCCACCGUCAAAGCUUUCGAAACAGACAAAUCCUAAACAAAAAUGAAACUGAAUUAAUAAAUUUGCCAUCCAAAUAUCCAAGUAUUUAACUUAGGUCUCCAACUUUGCCCAAGGCUAAGGUUGAAACCAAAUCAACCUUGAAUGGAAAUAAUUUCCAUAGAUUAAUUCUUCCUCAAGUUAGCCAAAAACCUUUAAAGAGCAAAAAUCCAACUUAAUUCCACACUUUCAAUUAUUUAAGAUCUAAAUGGUAUUCAUUUGGGCGUACCAAACCCAACCAAAAAAUUACCAAAAUACUAUACGACUCCGAUGACUUGAGGAAAGUGAGGCAGUAGGUUGACUUGCAAAACAACUUAACUGGGAAGGAUCGGCUUGGCAAGAAUACAGAUCAACUAAAAAAGGAACACUUCCCAAACUUGACUGCGUGACACGUUUUUCCUUUUCCAAAAUAACAAAUCAAAUCUUCACUCUACAUUUAAUUCUCUAUCAAAUCCAACUUUCUCUUUUCCCCCAAUAAUAAAAUACUUCCCUUCAAUAAUUAUAUUAUCUCAAUAUAAUUAUUUUCAUUUCAAAAAUCUAAUUAAUUAUAUACAUUUUUAUAUAUAUAAUUAUUCUUAAUUUAUUCAAAUCCACCAUCAAUUAAUCAAGCCAAAAUCAACCAACCUAAAAUCAAAACUUUAAUGACACCAAAACUUCCAAAUCUUCAAAAAUUAAUUAAGUACUCUUCCCAUAAAUAUUUAAUUAGUCAUAAUUUGUACAUUAUUAAAUAAUUUUUCACAAAUAUCUCAAAAUAACUUUUCAAUAAUUCCAAUAUAAUUAAAUUAAACUAAGAUAAUUAUGUUUAAAAUUACCUUGAUUUUUAGAAAAUUGCAUCAAAUGACAAAAAUAUUUAGAAAAAAUAGUUCGUAACGUUUUUUUUUUUUCGUUUUGCAUAUUGUGAAUAUGAAAAAUAUGACAAGUAAUUAAUUAUAUCAGACGGCAAUCAAAGUGCUAUCGGAUGGCUAUCAUAGGGUUAUCCACUUUUAAAUUUGCUAUUUUUUCAAUUUAGAAAAUGUAAUGACAUAGACCCUAUUAUCAUAAUUUGUUUUUUAAUUUUUGAAAAUGCCUCUUAAUUUUUGGGGCGUUACAUGAUGAGCAUGAAGAAACUGAUCCAGGAUAAGAAAACCCUAAAGUUUGUCCCUACAAUGGUUGCUAGGCGAUGAGGAGAAUGACGAAAAUAAGGUCUUUACACUUCUAAAUACCCCGCCAUAAGGAGCAACAUUGGAAAGUGCAGGAAAAAAGGUAGAUCUGGAACUCAAUUUUAAUUUUAUAUGCCUCGCACGAAAAUUAAUGUAAUUGAUAAGUUCAAAUUUUGUGUAAAGUGUCAAGUUAAUUAAAAAAAAUUAUCUUUAUUUCGCCAUUUACUAUUUGUACUUACCGCUUAGUAAUGAAUUUCUUCGUUAUAAUAAGAGUACUAUGCGAUGGAGUAAGUCUAAAGGUUAGAUAUUUUUUCGCUGCAAGGAAUAAAGUCUUUAAGAUUCGAGGUGAAGGCCUUGUGAUAAAACAAGUUGGAGUAAGUUGUUACGCAACGGGUGUCUAGGCGACACGUUCUACUUCUGGUCGCGAGAAGUGACAUUUGGGAUAGUGCGUGACAUAAGUUCAAAUAAGGCAUACUGGAAAGAUGUGGCAUAUGUGUGACACAUGUUUUGCUGUAAAACUAAUUGAAUCCUUUUUUUUUUUUUUUUGCCAAAAAUUGGACCCCAAACGUUCUAUUUCCUCAAAUUCGAAAUUAUAAUUUUGAUCAAGUCGAGUAAUUAAAAUUUCUCUAGCCUAAUCCAAUUCAAGUCAAUGAUAGAAAUUUGGAUCAAGCCAAUUUGAAACUCAUGGGAAACCUCUAUAAAGCCGUUGCAAAAACUAAAGAUCAAAAUCUCUCCAAAUUUAAAUGUGAAGAAUUCAACUCCUGUCCAAACUCUUGAUAUCUAAAAGAUACAACUCCUUGCAAGCCAUAAAGAUUGAAAUAAUACAAUUCCUCUCAAGCUCCGGAGAUAUGAAAAAUGUAACUCCUCUAAAACUUCUUAAGUCAUAAAUUAAAUGGUAAGAGAUUGUCACGCCAAAGAUAAAUCCAAACAGAUCAACUAGCUUAAAAAUUGAUCAUUCAAAAAGAUCAACAACUUCAAAGGUCUUAUUUUUCAAGAGAUCAACAAGUCGCAAGUCAAUCCAACCUGAUCAAGCUAGAGAUCGAUCAAAAAAACGAAAAAGGAUCCAAGUCAAUCAAAAAGCCAAAUAAUGAUCAAAGGUGAUUAACAAGCAAAAAGACCGUUUCAAGGUGUGAUCAAUAAACAAAAGUCUAAUUCAAGAAGAUCAACAACCCCAAAAGUUGAUCAUCUACCAACAUCAUCAAAUCUAAAAAAUAAUUAUCAAACAAAAUCAAUACGUUUAAAAAUUAAAGUUUAUUUGUUGAAAGAAGGCAUGAAAGCUACGAUAUACUAAAAUUAAUGCAAAAAAAAUGAAUGGAAAGUUGAAAUUCCACUGAUCAAAUUGAUCCAAAAAAUUAAAUCACAUCGAAUAAUGGUACUAUUUUUUAUCCACCCAUUUGUGAAAAGAAUUUGUAAGAGUUAGUUGGAGGUGAAUUUAAUGUAAAAGUUUGUUUUUGAUUAACAAAAUUUAUAAUACCAAUAAUUGAGUCGAGAAGUCUACAAUUAAGAAGAUAUGGUAUUAUAAAAUUGGAGGGGAUAAGAUGUGGAUCAUGUCCAUCACCUUCAUUUAUAAAUAGAAAAAGAAAAUCCAAAGAAUCAAACAUUGCUAGCUAUUUUAUAUUUGUUGAUGGGUCCCUAAAAUUCAAUACUCAUAACUUCACAAUGGGGAAAACAAAAAACUUAACAUCUUUUAACACCUAUCCACGUGAUAUUUGUACUUUAGGUCUGAUUGCAAAUUUAGUAUUACAUAACGUUUAAAUUCAGUUUCUCUAAUUCAAUUAAAUACUCAUUUUCAUAAUAAAUACUCCCCUCCAUUUUAACACAAACUAUUUAUUAUACUUUCUUUUUUCCAAUGAAAUCCUACGGAUUAACCAUCCUUUUUAAAUCAAAGUUGAUAAAUUUUUAAUUUUAACAACCAUAUAUAUUUUAAAAUAUCCUAGCUACUCCUAUUUUAAAACUGCAUUGCUAUUCAAAUAGUUCAUUACUAUAUCUAUUGAAUUAUUGAAUUGUUAGGUUAGAUAUAUAAAAAAUUAAUUUAUAAAGUAAUAAAUUAUUUUUUUUUAUAAUAUUGUUAUUGGUUGAUUAAGAUAUAUACUCUAAAUUGGAUUGCUAGUUUUAUUAAGGAAAGUAGCAAAAUAAUUUAAAUAUUUUGUAAAUACGUUUUUAAGAUUUUUUUCUCCAUUUUUCCCUUCCAUUCCCAAGUUUGAUCACCAUUCACGAUAAUCAAAUAGCAAUAGUAGCAGGUAAUAAGGAAACAACAAUCAUAUAUAACAACUAGUAUCACUAGCAAUUGGUAUCAAAUGUAUCUAAAUGACAAUUGAAUAACAAUCAAUAUUGUUGACAAUUAGUAUUAUAUAGUAAUUAGGCAACAAUCAGUGUUAUUGACGACCAAAAUUAGAGUAAUAAGGGAGCAAUGGAUGUCAUUCAUAAUUAUAUUAGAUAACAAUAAUUAAUAUCAAAUAGCAACCAAACAACAGUCAAAUAACAAAUCAGCAUAAGAUAGCAAUUUGAUAAUAAUAAUCGAUAUUAAAUAACAAUCAGACGAUAGUCAAACAACAAUCAAUAUCAUAAGUAGUAAGAUGAAAAUCAAAUGAUUUCGGUAAUCUAAGUAUUUCAAUUGGUUUGGGCUUAGAGAAUUUUACUAUUUUUGCAAAAUAAUAAAUAGCACAUGAGCUAGGUUUGAUUUUAACGAAAGAUUUUGGCAAUCUUUUGCAAAUACUAUUUAUAUAGAUAAUAAUUUGAAACUACAAAUAAGACAACAAUAAUAUAAUUAGUAUUAUUGAAAAUAAAAAAUAAUCAAUAUUAGAUAGAAAUCAAACAAUUAUUAUAUAAUAGGUAAGUAUACACGUUAAUUAGUUAGAUAACAAUCAAUACAAAAAAGUAAUAAAAAAUGGAAGGUAAUCAAAUGACAAUCUAGACGCAAUCAAGCAAUAUCCAAAAUUACUAUGACAAAAAAGUUGUCACACCCUGUCCCACCCCAAAGUCACUUCUUUGGACUAACUAAGUGGAGGUAUGUCGCCUACACCCUCAGCACAUCCACAUCGUGUGAUAAACGUUGAACGCCUAGUAAGUGAAAAUAACUCUUCUACCAAUCCUUAGACUUAAGGCUUAAACGUAAAGCUUUCUCAAUACAAAACAACAUAGUACUUAAACGUUUGUGUUAGCUUAGCUUUAUGGCUUAGUUCACUUCUACUUCUUAGUUACUACACAACAAACAUGAGGUAAUAUAGCAGAAUGAGUAAAAACUUUUCUUUAUUAACUUAACACUUUUUACAAUAAGUACACCAAAACUUCGACUUUUCCUUACAACAAGAGAUUAGGAAAAAUCUUUUAGACCUUCCUUCGCAUAGCACAACUUUUCCAACUUGGUGACUGGGUUAAUCACCUCAUCGUGUAGUAGUGUGUGUUAAUCCUUCUCCGUCACCAAGGUAUAGCUCCGCACGAUAUGGUCUUUUAGGAAUCUGAGAUCUCUUUCUUCAACCCCUUCUCCUCGAGUCAUUAGCAGCCAAUCCAAGGACAUCCUCCAAAGUCUUCUUUCUUGUUCUUCUGCACUCAUGCUACUCCUUGUAGAGUGUACCUAGAGGUGUAAAGGUGGCACUUCCUCUUCCGCCUAGGUUGUCCAACUACCUCUCUUAGCGAGCCACACAUAGGGUUAUUCAUUUCCUAAUUCAGCUCCUUGGCUCUCUAGCUCAUCGGGUUAGACCUCUCGAACUUGGACAUUGCACUUGUCUGCCUUCUAAGUCAGGCCAUCCGCACUAAGGUGCAAUUCGCUUACCGCUCAAUGUCUGCUUAGGCAUAAUAGAAAUUUUCAUGGCUAACGCACCAUGUAAGACUACAAAAAUGCUCUAUCUUCUCUCCUUUAGCUAGGUUACAAUGCCUGAUAUCCAUUCUUCGCUUGGCUUCAACGCCUGACAACCUAAGGAGGGGAAAACUCAAAACAAAUGUAUGUCAGACAAACUUAAUGAGCGACGAUUUUAAGAAAACCUUUUGGGAAAUCAUAAGGAAUUCACAAAUUAAAAAACAAUGUCGCAACGCGUAAAAUUCGUUAUAGCUAACAGUUAACGCACAUCGCAUAACCACCAUCAGUCAAUAACCACACGAUGAGUUACCAACUAGUACAACAAUCACAAUCGCAAGCUCAUACUGAAACCCGAAAAUUUCUUUUUGCUGGUCUAGGAUUCGCUCUCACCAAAAUCACGCUAGUUACCUGAAAUAUUCAUCAGCUUCUAGCCGCAUUCAUAUUCAUAGACCUGAGAGUUACACUCCACUAGUGUCUCAUCAACAUCUUCCUUUUAGCAAGCGUUACAACGUCAUAAACUAGGAUCAUUUCACAAUAAACCCAUUGUGGGACCUGGGAAUCUCCCCUUGCUGACAUAGGACUCAUACUCAACUAGUGUCACUCCAUAGGUCUUAUUUUCUCUCAAUAUGCAACCAUUACAAACGACAAACAAAAAGUUAGUCUUUCUAGCUUAUUUUCCUUGCAUAACAUUGCAUUAGUAAGAAUAUCAUAUACUAAGCAUUGACGCAUGAAUACUUUGGGUAAUCAUCGGCAAAAUACAUUUUUCACACACCAAGUUUACAAACAUCACAUUAACUAUUUAUGUAACUCAUCCACAAAUCCUUUUCCCUAUUGAUUAAAGAUUUAUGAAUACUCUACCUAUAAGGAAUACUUAGAAACAAACAUUCAUUACAAAGAUACUUGUUUGGGUUCAAGAUGAAUCAUUCGUAACAUUUGUUUCUAAUUCGUGAAAAAACACAGAAAAGAAUUAACAGUAAAUAACAACUCAGAAAACACAUUGAAUCCUGUUGUGUCACUCACACAUAUACUUAGCCUCGACUCCAUCCUUCUUUGUUUUUGGCUUUCUCUUCUCGUCCCGCUGUUCCCACAACCAACCAUUUAGCAUUUCGAACCUCUCCUUUCCAUUUUCAUCUUAAAUCUAACUUUUUUUAGCAAAAGAAAAACUCUCUUUUUCAUUCGACCUUUGGCCAUUUUAUAGCGACUUCCCACAUCCAAGGGUCGUUUCAAUAUUUUACACGUUCUUCUUACCAAGUCGUUGUCCCAUACAACCAAACCAAACUCGACAUGUAGGCUAAAACAUCAGCGAGAUUGGACGUUCCCUUGAGACACCAACCUUAUCUCCUUGGGAAGCCAAACUCUUUAAAAUGUCUAACUCUUGUUAUCUUCUGAGGAAGCAACAAACAUUUAAUUUCUCUAUAGAGUCGUCGUCUACUCUCGUCAACAGGACACCUACUUCCCGCCAAACUCCUUUAGGUAUAAGUACUUCUUUUCGUAUUACUAUAUUAAGUGCCUAACUCCUGGCAUACAACAUAGACCUAUUCUUCGCUACUUAUUCUUAUCAAGUUGCUUGUAUUCGCGUGAUAUAACUUAGACAGGUAUUCCUCUUUGCAUCACAUUUUUCCCUUUUGCGUGUUUUCUCGCGAAAUGUCCUAUACUUUCAUCUGAAAUGACCUCAGCAAGGA